rnacentral:lncRNA from 1 species
UCUUUUCUUUUUUCCUUCUUUUUAUAGGUUUUCCUUUUUCUUCUUUCCAAUUUCUAUUUCUUUUAUUUUUUCUUUUUCCUUCGAUGAACCCUAGCUGCCAUUGUCGUUGCCGUCUGAGCUCCGAUCGAGCAUCAUUAGAACACUCUUCUCCACCACCUCUCUUCAAAUCGUUAGUUAGUUUUCCAAGAAUCCGACCCAAAUUUGAUGAAACAUAGGCCAAAGCUUCGAUCUCUUUCUUUCUCCAAACUCCCUUUUACACAGUCAGAUCACCACCAGUCUCCGAUAUGAAGUACAUCGUGUCAUGGUUUUUCUUGCCACAAUUGGGAUCGCCAAACAGAGACCCAGAGGUACGCUGAACUCGAAAAGAUAAGUCCUCAAUAAAAACCCUAGAUAGUCGACUAUGAAUUUUCCUACUAUGUUUCGCCUGCUCUCCGAUGUCGAACUGAGCCACCACCGUCAAUGCCCUUGCCUUCGGUCAAUGUGCACCACUGCUUAGCCUCUUGUUUCUUUUCCUUUUUUUACUGCCGCCUCUACGGUCUAACCUCGGAUGAUAAACAUGUUUGCAAAUCUAAGAUUUGUUUGGGUUUGCAAAACUAAGUUUCAAUUUGGGUUUGUUUUUUGGGACUUGAUUCCAUUUUCCCCCAAUGGGUGAAUUUGAUUUUGGUUUUCUUUUUUUAUUGCGGUUCCAUGUUUAUUAUAUAGGUUGUUUCCGCUUUGAUUUUGUAUUGGGAUUUUGAUUUGCUCCAUCGUCAAGUACUAUCAAGACAAGCCAUGGCUGUAAGGUUUCGAUUUUGAUUUUGAUUUGCAAUGUAUUAACAACGAUCCCAUCACAAAUAAGCUUUGUUUUUCGAAUCAUUUGAAAUUGGAUUUAAAUUUUCUGGCAAUUGAGCUUUUUUAAGUUCGAUUUCAUGGAGCAAACCAGGGAUUUUAAAAGACUCAAACUCGGAUACCAUUUCAUGAACCUUAAUUUGAUAGAAAACCCUAACUAGAAACCUCAAAUCAACUCAACUCUGAUGCCAUUUUUAGGCUGAAAAUUAGGCAACUUGGGUUGAGGGAGGAAGGAGAAAGAAGGAAAAACAUAACGAUAAAAAAACUGGGGAGAAAAGUGAAAAAAAACAUUUUUAAUUUAUUUUUAGAUUAUGACAUCAUUAUACCACGUGUCACAAUAUUAUUCUGUUACGUGUCCUAAAUUUAAUUGCAUUAGACUGAGGUACCAAUUUAAUUAACGGAAAAAAAAUUCGGAUAUUAGUCUAGAACAAAAAAAAACCAUAAAUAUCAAUCUGAAAGAAGUGGACAAGUUCGAUUAUCUCAUUUGUUUCCCAUACCAUUUUUGUAUUUAAUUAUAUUUUAUACUAUUUUUAUAAAAAAAAAAAAUUUUUGAAAUCAUAAACAAUGCUGAUGAAACAGUUUUUGAAGUCGAAAUGUGCUUUUAACUCAGUUAAAUGAUUCAUUUGGAAAACAAAAUACUUUUGGAAUCAAAUGAGGUUUUUAAUCCUUUUUAUAGUUAAAUAUAGUUUGUGUAAUUUUUAUAUGGGAUAUACAAUUUUUUUAUUGAAAUUUAUUACAAAUGUAUAACAUAAUAUAUUUGAGUUUUUAAUAGUUUAUAUUUAAUAUUUAAAACGUAAUUAAAUGUCAAAAAUAUUAAUAUUAAUUACUUUAAAAUAUUUAAAAUUUAUAUUUCAUAUAUCAAAAUAUAAAUAAUAAGGUAUAAUAUUUUUUUAUACUGAAAUAUCAUAAUAUCAAUGAAUUUAAACAUGAUUUAAAUUAUUAUUUUUUUACUUUGCAACAUUAUAUCUAAAAUGAACAUUUUAUUACUCAAAAAUAAUUUUUGAUAACAAAAUCUUAAACUAAACUUCUAAAAAUCACAUUUUUUCACAGCACUUAAACAAGACGAUACAAAAUAAGACUUAAGCAAGAAUAAGAUCUAUGUUAAUGUGCUUAAUGGUUAUUUUUAUUUUCAUCUCACCAUUACCAUUGCAUUUACAUCCAAACACAUACUUUACAAUUGAUUUUAAUAUCACUACUACAGUAAUUAAUUUAAACUUACAACGGUAAAUAAACUAAAGAAAACUUAAGAUAAAAAAAAAAGAGUUCAAUUUAAAGUUAAGAUACUUUUAAGUCAUACUUUAAGGUAAUAAAAAAAUGUAAAAUAUUUUAUUUUGAUCAAGGAAGCGAUAAGUUCAAUAUUAUAAAAUUUAAAAACGGUUAGAAUAUAGUUGAAACUAAUUUAAAUAUCUAAGCUGAUUAUUAUAGUGUAGAAAAAUGAAUUGGACGUCGUAGUUGUGUUUGUUAAAAACCCAACAAAUGGGAAACCUGAAGAAGAAGGGUGUGGUGUCGUAUAAAGUUAGGCAAAUCCUUAUCAUGGUGGACAACCAAAUAUCAAAUUGCACGUAUGGGUUGCGUAACGCGGAUUUUGAAGAAGUAAAACACAAACUUUUUAAGUGGAGCUUUAUGAUUAGGGGUGGUGCGAGGGAGUCCAUUUUUAGUGUAUUUGGUAGAGGAGAAUAGGAGAAGUGAUUAUUUUUUAUCCAAAAAAAUUUUUUUUUUCUUUCAAUUUUUCCUAUCUCACUCACUUAUGAAAACAAAAAUUAUAUUUUUCAUCAUUCAAUUUUUUUUAUCUUUCCAAUAUUUUUACACUUCACCAAAAAAGAUGAGUUUGGAUGGGCGGUGCGUUUACCUGCGGUUAGUGUAAAAACAGCGGUGGCGGUGAGCUUAAAUACUGUAGCGUGAGACAAAAAAUAAACUAAACGCACAGUACCGCACCCAAUCGCCCAUCCAAACCCACCCUUAGAAUUUAGAGAACAUACGACGGAAAGCAAUUACUUUCUUAAGAAAUGAAUUGGACUGGAGAGUAAUUCCCAUGUAUAGCAUACCAAAAACUAUUGACUUUAUUCAGAAUGUAUCUGAAAGUUAUUUUCUUUUAAUCAUUAGAAUGUGAUUCCUUUGUAUAUUGGCUAUAGGUGCAAAGUUAAAAUUUCUCUUUUUCUUAUUUCUUUAUUUUCAUUAUGCAGUACUUUUUCGCCGGACAAUAAAGAAUAUGUUUAAUUUUAAAUACUAUUGAAUUAAAUUUUAAAUUAUAUUCUAAUUUAAUGCAUAUGAAAUAUUUAAAUUUUAUUUUCAAUUUAAUCAUAUAUUAUUUUUUUUAAAAUGGUUUUUUACGUAGAUAAUAAAAAAUAAUAUUUAAAUACCAAAAUGGUAUUCCAAUGUCAUUAUUUACCAAAAUGGUACGAAUUGAAUAGUUUUAUGAGAAGAGGGGAAAAAAUUGGAGAAGAUGAGACAACAAAGAAGAAUUUGUAAGGUUAAUAAAUAUGAAAUUUUUUUUCUUUUAAAGUAUAUAUUUUUUAAAAAUAAAAUAUUGAGAAAUUUAAUUAUUUUUACGGAUUUAGUAUUGGAGAUGGAUAAUCAAUUCUUCGUAUGUAUUUAUUUCGAUAGAGUAUUUUUGACAACAACAGUUGGAUGUAUAUUUGAAUGUCGCCAACAAAUAGCAAUGAGAUUUAAUAGAAAUGUGUUGGUUGAUGAUAUGAAAGAAAUGAUCAGUGCAAAAAUGGUUACACAUUGUGGGAGGAGGAUCUCGAAACUAUUCUACAAAUUCUCAAUUUCAACAAAUCCCAUCAAAUUCACCAAGAUGUAACUUGUAGACGAUGAAGACGUGGAGGCAAUGGUCACACUUUAUUGUCAAAUUCAAAGUGGCAAAACUAAAUCGAUUCAGUUGUUUGCUGAGUUACCUUAUGUGGAGUCAGGUGAAGAUUUCACUCCAUUAAAUAAAUAACAUGGUGUUCAAGAUCUGUGUACGGUGGUCUUGAAAGCAUACGUUGAUAGGCGAUUAAUUGUCCGCAGAAUUGACAUCGAUAUUAAUGUUUCACUUGUGUUUGAAAACUUUAACCUAGUUCCACGUUUACAAAUACAUCUGGUGGUGAUUGAGAUCGAUGAAAAUGGUGGUGAUGGAUAUGAUAAUAAUGGUCCUUCUGAUCACGAGGUUAAAUGUUAUAGUGAUCCCAAUUUAGACAAGGUCCAUGAUGAUAUCGACGACGAAAGCACGAAUGAUGAUAGAAAUGUUAACGCGUUUUUAGUUGGAAACUCGAGUCGAGACAUUGUGAUACACAAUGAUCCUGGGGCAUAUAUGUUGAUCGUAAACCCCGAUGUGGCAUAAGAAUCUGAGUUCCCAGAAUACCUCAAUAUACUCCCUAUUCACCGGUUGGCUGCAGAUUCGAACGUGAAGAGUUGUUCGUGGGCCAAAAAUUCACAACCAAGAAAGAUUGCGUAUUUUCCAUUAAGUAGUAUAACAUGAAUGUGUUCGUCGACUACAAAGUUUUCGUGUCUAAACUAACAUUGUAUAUAGGUCGAUACAAUGGUACAAUUGGCAAGUACGAGCUGCAUUCAUCUAGAGGUCGCAAAUGUGAGAGAUCCAAAAAAUUUUUGGCCUCACACAUGCACUUUUACACAUAUGACACAAGAUCACCGCAAACUUGACGCCAAAACUAUCUACAGCUACAUCAUGCCAAUGGUGAAGGACAUGCCGACCAUUUUUGUUUCUGUGCUGAUUGCUUAAAUGUAAGAAUAUUCCAGUAUUGAGUGUCAUACCAGAAAACAUGGAUAACAUAUGGCCAUAGAGCAGUUGUCCGGAUAUUGGGAUGCGCCAUACAAUGAGCUAUAGAAGUGGAUAGUCAUUAUGCAGGAAUACAUGACACAGAUUGUCAUUGAGUUACAGACACGACCUUAUUAUGGCUUAGGCGACCAAUUACAACCAGAGAGAAAAAUUUUCUACCGAAUGUUUUGGACCUUCGGUCCAUGCAUAUGAGUUUUUUCCUACUGCAAUUCCCUUGUGCAGGUUGACGAGACCUAGCUAUACGAAAAAUAUACGCAAAUUCUAUUUAUUGCAAUUUCUCAAGAAAUGAAUCGAAACUUACUCCCGGUAACGUUUGCCAUUGUGGAGUCGGAGAACAUGAAAUCAUGAGAAUUUUUUUGACAAACUUGCGGACUUAUAUUGUUAGAGACGGUAAUAUUUGCAUCAUAUCCAAUAGAUCAAAUGGACUAACUGUCGCGAUUAGGUGUUCUAGUGUUUUUUGGAGAUUCGUUUAUUGCAUCCAACACAUCGCAGCUAACUUCCACCGAGACUACAAGAAUAUAGACUGGUGAAAAUAAGUUGUGAAAAUGGGUAAAAUUAAAUUUUAACAUAUUUUUUGAAUAUUCUUAAUACUUCCACAAAUUAAUUUGAAAAUGUAACUUGUAUUUUUAGAAUACAUACGUAGUUUACUAGCUAGAAUAACAUUGUUUCAGACAAAGGCUAAAUAGACUUGAGGGUAACAUGCAAAGUGAAAUGAAUAUUACUUUUCGAGAGUGGUUGGGUACCAUUGAACUGUGGCAAUGAGCUUAAAGUUUCGACGACAGGUCUCGAUAUGGUUAUAUAACCACCAACUUGAUGUCAAGAAUUGGGUUGAAACAAGUAAAUUAGAUGAUAGCGGGAUACGUGCUUAUCGAGGAGGUCAAAAAGACAAUAGAUGCAAACCAUUAGAGAUUGAGAUUGAUGAGUGUAGAAAUAUAUUCUCGACAGUUAGAAACUUUUUGAGUUAUGGAAUCCAUCGAUCGUUGACGAGGUAUCCCACUUAGGUACUAUAGAGUUGAUCUCCAAAACAGAUGGUGCGAUUGCGACAAGUUCUAAACACUUCGUUACCCCUGUAUGCAUGUCAUUGUAGCUUGUGCUCGUACCUCGACCAAUACUGGACAAUAUAUCGAUGAGGUGUACACUCUCAAGUGCACAUUGCAUGUUUAGGGAAAUGAGUUCCUCGUCUUACGUGAUUUGUUUACAUAAAAAGUGCCUCUACUGACUUUCGAGCUUGUCCCAGACAAGGGGUUAUGUAGGAAGUCAAAAGGUUGCCCGCAAGUCACUAAGAUCUGUAAUGAAAUGGACAUGAGGGAGAAAAUCGACCCAAAACUUUGUGAGGUGUGCAGAACAGUUGGUCAUAACCGAACUAAAUGCCCACAUCGAACCUACCAUAUUGGACAAUUGUCUCGAUCAAGUGGAAUAUGAAUUAGUGUACUCCAUGUUCAAUUUUGUAUUAAAUUUUUUAUGAUUAUGAUGGAAUUUUCAUAUUUAUAUUUUAGUAACAACACAAUUCUAUUACAUCUUUAAACACCACUUUGGCAUGAAUAUUGUUUUCAAAAAAACCAAAAGUUUGUUAAAAAAAGUCAAAAGUUGUGUUUUGAAAUGUAAUAUUUGUUGAAUGAAUAAUAUUUAUUAAUUAUAUGUUUCUAGUUCGUAAUCAUUAAAAAUUAAAAGAUUUAAAAUAUUAAUUUACUAUAAUUUAAUUAAUACAAACUUGAAAAUUUAAAUUACAAAUUACAUGCAGUAAAUAUAAUAUUACACAUCCUAAAAUUGAUGGUUCGAUGGUGUCGUCCGAAGGGUAAACCAUUGUGGUGCCCGACGUUGACGUUAAGGGUGCUCGUGGCAGUCAUUGUUACCCUCACCUGGAACAUCAUUCACAACAUCCAUCGAUGAACCUUGGGGUGUGCUAAACAUACUCGAGAAACCGUAUGUCCCAAAGGUGGGAGAGGUUGAGUACUGGGGUGGUAAUGUACUGAAGAUAUAAAAAAUUAUCGGUAAUCUCAAAUCCGAAUGAUUAGAACUGGAACCGAGAAUCUCUGACUGAUAUGCGUAACUUAACGAGCCCGAAAAAUAGUUAUCGACCCCUAAGUCCGGAUGAAAGGAACUACCUUCAGAUUUUGAAUAAUACCACUCGGGUUCGGGUGCAGAAGGCGGAUAGUCAUAGUGUGCGAAAGGUGCCUUAGUCGUUGCAUAUGUAGAGGGACUAGUAUUAUUUUCCCACCAAAUAAAAAAGGUUUCCCACUCACCAUGUACCAACAUCGGUACUCCUCUAAGGGCCACAAAUCAACUGUAUAAUUUAUUCGAGGUCUCCGUCUCAACCGAUCGUUCCACAAUACAAUAUAUUUUUCAUGCUCUAGUGCCCAAUUCUUGUCUUGUUUCCUCCUUUUGUUAAUUCUAUGUACAACCCCCAAACUCCAUAAAACAUCCGGAAUAUAUUGGAUACACCCGAAUUGUUGUAGUACUCGAUCCCUGUUAUACCACUCGACUGUUAAAAAAAUUAGCAGAGGUGCAUUAAUACACCAUAAGUGUGAAUGGAUAUGAGUAGACGAGGUAAUAAUAGCUGCAAUGUCCGGAAAAGAAUAUGACAUCCAGAUGAACUACAUAAUUAAUAACAAGGUUAUAGUAACAUGGUUCAAUUAACAUAAAUAAAGUAAGUACAUGUAAUGAAUAAUAGUAAAAACUACCCCCUCCCCGAUGCAUGUCUCAAUCAUCUGUCGAUAAAUCGGAAGCGUAUAUGACCUCCCGAUACUUAGAGAAGUACUCCAUCUACGAAAAAAUUAAACUUGUUAGAACAAAUUUUCAUAAAUAAAAAAAGCAAAAUUUUUUUUGUAAUGCUUAAAUAUUAUCACCUAUUCAUGAGUGGGAAGACAUAUGUUUAGUGAGCAACUAAUGCCAAGAAUGUCAUACUGUAAAGUGCCCAAGACUAGAGCAAUACUAGGCAUCCGCCUAUGUUCACAGCACGGUGUUUUAUCGUCGACAAAGCUCCCGAUACAAUGUCGCUAGUACUGCUGAACCCUAACUAUAAGAACAGGCAGCGUAAAAAUCAGAUAAAAGGGGCAAGUACAUCAAGUGAACCUUGUUAUUUGCGUUUGACAUGAGUACACCCUCUAUCAUAUGCAUUAUAUAUGCUCGAGUGACGCACAUCACCUCCCAUUAGUGGCAGUACUCGAUAAAUACUCGAAAUUCACAUUUAACCAUGAAAAUCUCAAACUCGUAAAUUUAUUGCCACCAUCACCGGGCGAGCGUCCUAGUAAGUCAUAGCUAAGGGCUGCCAGUUUGAACGUUGCACUUACACCCGUGAUCACACUACUGUCAAUUGGGAGCUCGAGUUGCAGUGCAACAUCUUCCAAUAUGAUAGUGCACUCCCCAUAUGUCAAAUGAAAUGUGUAGGUCUCCUGGCGCCACCACUCGACCAAAGUGGAUAUAAAGUCAUAUUUCAAAUCAAACAUACGGAUCAAUACCACUGAUCCGAGUUCGAAUGCCUCCAAGUAUGGCAUAAAACGUUCAUCCAACAAAUAGCCCACACCGUUGACACGGUCCCUCAAUACGCGGUACGGACUCUGGCCAUACUAAAUUACCACGAUAGUUAAUAUAUCCCAAUUAAAUAAAAAAUGGUGUGGAACUUUAUAGGAGGACUCGUGAAUAACAAAUAACAAAUCUAUUACCAACACAUUAAUCGUAUUUGAUGUGUGACCUAUUUCUGUAAUCAAAGAACUCAUUUUUAAUGUUCGCAGUUUCAAAUAAAAAAUUUAAUCAUCGCCUGAACAAAUAAAGAUAAUGAAUUUUGUAUUGUAUGUUAUUUUUUUGAAUAAUUAAUAAUAUUUUUACUCAUAUAAACAAAUCAAUAACAAUGUAAUUUGGGAUGCACUAAUGUAAGUCUAUCAUUUAUUUUUUAGAAACCAUCUUCUUCUUCUUUUUUAAUUUUUUAUCCCAAUAACAAAAAUUUUAUUACGUAACAGAUAUUCAACGUAAGUGAAUUGUAAAAAUUUGUAAAGCAAAUUUAGUUCAAUUAAUUAGUAUUCAAUCAAUUUAACGUAAGAUGUAUAAAUUAAUUCUAUAUAAAAAAUUAAAAUUAUUCUGAUAGUUUCUCUAAUUGAAGAAAAACAAAGAACAUAUUUUUCUAUUUUAAAAAUCUCAUCUCGGAUUUAUGGCAUAUUUGGCCUUUUUUACCACAAUAAUCUAAAAAAAUAAUUAAAUACCAAAACGAGUCACCGUACAAAUUUGUAGCAAACAACCCAUUUCAAUAUUUAUUAUUUUAGCAAACGACCCAUUUUGGUAAUUAAUUUGUAGGGUACCCCAUUUUGGUAUUUAAUUUUUUUUGAAUUUUUGUGGCAAAAUCAAAUAAAUAAUAAAAAGAUUACAAAUCCAACUAAUGUGAAUUACAAAACCUUAAACAAGUAAAUAAUAACUACAAAACAAAAAUGUACCUUUAAAAUAAUAUUUGUUGUUGUCUCCUUUCCUUCCAAAACCACAAAAUCAAACAAAUAAUAAAUAUUAAAAAAAAUUACCUUUCAAAAAAACUUAUUGUUGCCUCCUUCACCCUAAACCCUAAAUCAAAUAUAUAAUAAAUAUUAAAACCACAACAACCUGUUACCUCCUCCCUUUAAAACCCUAAACAAAAAAAAUACAAAAAUAAAACUUAACCUUUCAAAACACUUCACUUCUCUACUUUGUUGCCUCUUCCCUUCUUCUCUUCUCCUAAACUGUUAUAAAGUUCAUUUUUUUACAAUUGAGGGGACUAUGACCCCUAUUAUAAAGUUCAUUUUUUUUCACGUGUAAGGCCUAAAUCGGCCAGUUCAGGCCGUCACACCCCGUGAGUGUGUGGUCACUUCCGCUGCAGAGAGGUGCUGUCAGGUGUUGCCUAUCAAGUUCCCUCCUCUAGCCUUUAAAAAUUAUUUUUCCCAACUCGUAUUUUCCCUAUAUUUUAACUGAUAUAAACUACAUAUAGGUUCCGCCUCUCCUACAUCCUCCAUCACUUAAAUAUAUAUAUACAUAUAUGCUUAAUGAUGGGGUUAUGAUUGCCAGCAAAAACAAUGGUGGUGCCACCACCUUCAAACCAUACCAUUUUGGUAAACAAUGGGGUGAAACAUCAUUCUUUGGUAUUUAAAUAUUAUUUUAUUAUUAUCUAAGUAAAAGAAAAAAGUUAUUUUUUAAUUAAAUUAAUGUUAUUUUUUAAUAAAAUAAAUAUAUGCGGCAUCCUUUUUUUUGUAUUUUUAAUGUUACAUUUUUUAUUUUAAAUCAUAUCAGGUUUACCAUGUGAUAAAUCACAUAAUUUAGGAAAAGAAAGAAAAAGUUUGGAUAAAAGAAGAAAUGUCAUAAUUUGGGAACAUCAAGUACAAUUUAUGGAUUUAUAAAUUAUAUAGUUGUGUCAUUUACACUAAAAUAUGCUAAGACUUGGUCCUCAACCAACCAACUUAAUCCUCUCUUUUCAGCUUAGAAAAUGACUCAACACAAUGUCUUUUUGGCGCUUUAUCUAAACAUAAAUAGACUGUUUUUAAGUAAAUCACAAGUUUAUCAUAUCUUUUUAUGUCCUAUCAUAUUUAUUUAUAUUAAAAAAUAAGUAUAUCAUUUUUAAAAAUUAAAAAAAAAAUAUAAGUGGUAGAGGUAAUCUUUGUUUUUCUAUAUUAAUUUUUGGUUUUGGAUUUUUAGACUCAUUUUGACAAAAUGAACUUUGUUUUUAACUUUUAUAUAUUAUUAGACAUUAUCUCUAAGUCUUUUCAUAAAUAUUUCUAAAAAACAAUAUUUUUAAGAACUUUUUAAAUUAUUUCCACUAUUUUAAAUAUAAAAAAAAUUAUUUUUAUAUCAUAAAAAACAAAUAUAGAAUUUGGUUCACUUUUGAGUAAUCGCAAUUUUUAAACUUGCAUUCCCUAAACCAUUUAAAUACCUCAGUUCGAGUCAAUUUUCAAUUUUUUUACUCAGCUCUAAUGAACAAGUCUAAACAAACUUGAGUUAAUUAUUUACAAAUAUAGACGAAUUUAGACAAAAUCUAAGCUUAUACUUUAAGUCAAACUGGGCUUAAGCAGUUAUAUGUGAUAAUGAUAUCAUGUAUGAAUUUAACUUGAACCCUAAAUUUUAAACUUACUAUCGCCUCAAACAAUCAAGUGUUAUCUUAAACCAUGGGAAAUUUCAUGUGGAAAUCUUUUUAUCAUGUGGAAAUCUUUUUAUCAUCAAGGUGAAAUUAACAAUAAUCAGUGUUAUUUAUUUAAUCUUCGAAUUAAAAGAACUGUUUCAUCUUAAAAUUAUAUUUCCCAGGUCUGACAAAAAAAAAACAGGCUGGAGGACUGAAUUGAAUAAUAAAAAAAGUGAGAUGCCUAAUUCCCUGAUUAUCCCAGCACAAAGUAAAGCACUGCAGGUUAAGACAAGUUGACUUUGUCGUCCUCUCUAAACUACAAUAAAUACCGAAUAGAUGCGUAACAAAUCAGAUGGAUACUGCAGAUUCAUUACCUCUACGGGAAAAUACCACAUCAUCCGAUGAUAUUUUUAUUUUUAAUUAGUAGGUACCGAUAUGAUGAAAAGGGUUCAUAAAAUAAUUUUUUUCUCUAUAAUGAUGAUUACGUGGUGUAAAAAAUUAAGAUUUUAAAAUUAACGUGCAAAUAUCGAGUCUUUGACAAGCAUUUUACAAAUUCGGGUCAACUCAGUCCAACUUAAAUUACUAUUUAAUAAUAAAAUUAUUUUAUUUAAAUUUAAUUAUAGCUUUUUUAUAAAAGUUAACUGGAUCAAACUUAUUUAAAUUAUGAGUUGAUCCCUAAACUUCAAAUUAUUUUAAUUACAUCUUUCAACUAUUGAGGUUAUACCAAUUAGAUAUUUUUGUUAUUAAAAUCGUUAAUUUAACUAUUAAAUGACACAUUAAAUCUUAUAUGAUGAAGUUUAAAACGGAAAAAACUAAGAAAAAAUAAAUUUGUAAAACUCCUAAUUUUUGAGGUUUUCGAAAUUCUUACAAAAGGUUUAUCGUUGAUUUUUUUUUCAAAUCUACCUUUUGACUUUUAAAAUUGAUGCGAUAAUGUUCUAUUUAUUUAAAAUUUUAUUUAAAAUUUAAUUACAUAAAAAUGUGACAUGUAAUAUUUAACGGUUUUAAUAGCGAAAGAAACUAAUUAAAAUAAUAUCAAUAGUUUAAUGAUGUAAUUAGAAAACUUUAAAGUUGAAGGACUAAUUUAAAAUGAAGUAAUAGUUUUUUUUUGUAAAGGGUAAAGGUGUGAGAGAUAAAUCCAAAAUUAAAGUGAAUCAUGGGUAAUUUAAUCAACAAUUUAAUUAGAAUGCGGAAAUAAGUAGAGAGAGAGAAGAGGCUGACUGCUUCAACAUGAGAUUUGAUUGGAAGAAAGCAAUGAGGGAAUCUACAGGGAGAAAAGAACAUUAUGUUUCAUCAUAUAACCGCGUGGAAGUUUCUACCCAAUCCUAAACAUAACCCAAUUUUCCAAUUUCACUCGGCAAUCCCUCUCCCUUCAUCCAUCCCCCCUAUUUAACAGCCAUUUCCACCCAAAAGAAAAAGCAUAGCUCAGCAAAGGACAUUAUAAAAACAAAAAAACCCCCUAAGAACGACGUACUGCUAAUGGAGAUCCCAGCUGGUUUUCGGUUUUUUCCUACAGAAGAAGAGUUAGUUUCCUUCUACCUACGCAACCAGUUAGACGGCCGGAGACAAGAGAUGCACAGUGUUAUUCCUGUUCUCAACAUUUACGAUGUCGAGCCAUGGGACCUUCCUCGUAUUGCUUUCUUCACUCCUCAUUACAUUCUUCAAUUUUAAACAUGCUUAAAACUGACCGGUUUAGUAAGUUAACAUGUUCCUUCUUUUGUCGCAGAGCUUGCGGGGGAGCGUUGUAGACGAGACACUGAGCAAUGGUUUUACUUCACACCAAGACAAGAGAGGGAAGCUCGAGGUGGGAGAGCUAACCGAACUACUGCUUCUGGCUACUGGAAGGCAACAGGGUCUCCCAGCUAUGUCUACUCCUCCGAUGACCGAGUGAUCGGAAUGAAGAAAACAAUGGUUUUCUAUAAGGGGAAAGCUCCUUCUGGGAAGAAAACCAAAUGGAAGAUGAAUGAGUAUAGAGCUAUAGAAGCUGUGCCCAACCCGACUGCUGUUACCACGACUCCGAUGGUGAGCAUUAUAUAGUUGCAUACUGUUCUUCAGGCUCAAAAGCUCGAUAUGAACUUCUCCCAUUUCUAAUCAUUUCUUGAACUAUUCUUAAUGCAGUUGAGACACGAAUUCAGUUUGUGUCGAAUCUACGUGGUAUCAGGCAGCUUUCGAGCAUUUGAUAGACGCCCACUCGAACCUGUAUCAAAAGCAACACAACUUCAUGAGAAUAGGACUGCAACAUUUUCAGAGAGAGCCUCUAUGAUGGAGGUAACAAGCUCCUCAAGUACUUCACACACUGGAGGAGACCACUCUGAUCAACCAGAGGCAAAUGAAGAUGAUAUUUGGGAGAUGGUUAACGAUCUCGAAGAACCUCCCUUAGGAUGGGAACAAAUGAACUGGACUGGAGUUUAGCAAACAUUAAUAAGUAACCACUCCUUGAUGUGGUAGAUAGGAUAGUACCAAAAAGCACGAGUAAAAUCUAACUUCAGUAAGUAGCAGUUUUUCAUCUUCAACAUGAAGGUUAAUGUAGAUGUAAUAACAAAUAAUCAAAGAUCUUAAGAGAUCAUUUUAUGUAAAAUAGGAUUAAUUUUUUUUCGAGAAAUCGAAGUUAGGGAAAAUCCCAUUGUUUUUGUAGAGAUAUCUGUCACUGCUAUUUAGGUCUAUUCAAUUUGAAGAUGCACUUGCCGUUACUCUCUGCUGAAUCCCAUUGUAAAACUCAACACCUGAAGACAAGCAAACAAAAUAACUCAAACAAAAUGAUGAAAUAGGACAAGGUUAGAAGAAAGACUACCAGAACAACAGCGGAUUCAUAAAAGGUAAUAACAAUCAUAAAGGACAAACAAGAAAAAUUUGUAGUCAGCCCAUCUGCUCGUUGACUCACUAAACAUCUAAACCAGAGUUUUGUUGAGUCAUAAUCAUGCAUGCCUCUAUGUCACCAAGGAGUUGGAUUGCUCAUAAUCUAAUAUUUAUGCAGACCUCGGUGAUGGUGUUUUGUAGGGCUAUAUUACCCUUCAUUUUUCUUGAAGUAUGCGUGUUUGACACUUAUAUCCUGUGCGUAUCCAUAAAUUAAUGGGUAUGGGGAUAUUGACCUUUCAAAAAUCCUCCAAAUACAUGGAAAACCUUAGAAAAAGUGGGACAUAUCUGUACCUAACACUUGCACCAAGUUUGAGUAAUAUAGUUUUAAGCUAAACCGAACAAAGCUUGAGUGCUGACUCAACCAGAAGUAUUCAUGCUCCAUCUUGUAACCAGAAGCCACCUCUACAACAUAGUUCUAGUGUAUCAAUACAAUAAAAAUGCUUAGCUGGUAAUCUUCAAUUUUUUAUUAGCACAAUAGCAAAAGGAAGGCAUAAAACAAAAAUAUAGCCUAUUCCAACUCAAGUUUCAUGGUUGAUUUGUUCUACCAAUUAUGAGCAUAAGAUCAUAGAUAACUCAAUCUAAAAAUAAAGUCUUACAAAGGAUAUUACAGGAUCAGAAAAGCAUUUUGGAUCAUUCUAGGUUAUAGAUCUCAACCUUGAAAAAUCUUUGCAAGUUCACUUGUCAAUAUAGAGUGAUGACAGCUCAUCGCCAACCCCGUUUCAAAAGUUUUAAACAAACCAUCUCAAAAUAUCAAUGGUUACUUACCUAACAAGCAAUAAUGGUCAAUGCUGUAGUCAAUCUUCGUCGAACUUGAUAAUGUUCCGUUGCCUAUAUAAUAUACUGGAGAGAACCAAAAAUGAAAUGUAAAAGUAGUUAAAUGAUUUAAUAGAUUUAUGAUGAAAUAAAAAGUAAACAAGGAAUUUCACUUGGUGAAUGCACGUAGACCAUGGUUCGUUGUAUUGAAUUCAACAUGUUUGAAAAUGGAACCUGCCAAAUGUUUUAUUCAAAUUUUUUGACCUCUGCCCUGCAUGGGACAACUACCAGCGUAGAAAGAAGUUUCAAUCACAAUCUGCCUAAAAAUUGGUUAUACAUCAUCAUUACGCAUUGCUCCUUCCAUGGACAAAAAGAUUAAAUAAAUAACUCCUAGGGAGCUUUGAAGAAAUUAUUGCUGCCUGUCGCCACCUGAGUGGGCUAGUUUUCUUCCCAACAGGACCUUUCCUAGAAAUGUUUUUUUGACAUCAUACAUAUAUUGAUGCUAUGUGUUCUUGGCACUUCAAUUCAUUGUAGGAUCAAAGUUUUCCUUUAGUCUUUUCUUUUGUCCACAGAAUGAUUUGUUUUGCAACCAAACUACCGACUUGAACACUACAUGUUCGUGCACAGCCCUGACUGAUCCCUUUUCUUCUUCUUCGAGCAGCUCAUGAUCAAAGAAUUGAGCAAAUGAUAGAAACUUAAUGACAUGUUUUUUGUACCCACCAAGUAUGUUCCGAACCAAAUAAUUUUCACACCUAGGCCUCUCUUCAUGCUCUUUUGACCUCAUAAAACUCAUAGCAUUAAUUAAGAAAUUGUACCUCAUUGACAGACUAUAGCCAACAUCUAUAACUGAGGUAAACGUCACAACUUGCAUAAUUAGCAGACUUGACAAUUGCUGCAUCUCUAUGUCUAUACGUAUACAUCAUCAACUCGUUCUCUCCACUUAUAUAUGCUGAACAAUCUGGAAAGCUUCUAAAACUACCAGAAAAGUUCUCAAUAUAACAUGAAAUCAUAUGGAAGUCUAUCCUCAUUUCCUACAAGCUCAGGUUUGAAGAGUCAUCAACACUAAAUUGGUCUGUCUGAAAAAUGCCUAGUGAUCUGGCUAUAAAUUCCAGUAAUUGCGUGUUCCUUUAGUCAUUACAAGAUUCAAAUAAGUACAUUACAUCUAAUGCUUUAGCAGUCUAUUAUUAAAACCUUCGAGCUCAUUGCUUCCUGUUUCUACUUUUCUCAUGGAGAGCAAAUAAGCAAUAGUUUUGACUUUGUCCUAAAAACUACAAGCAAAAAUAGUUUUUAUUUCAGGAGAAAAUUAGAGGUCAACUGUGUUCUGGCAGUUCUACUACUGUGUAAAAGUGUGUUGCAUAACUUCUCCUAGACGACAGUGAAUUAAAUCGGAAAUAUAUGAAAGAUUGACAGAUCCAAACUUUUGUUCUUUUCAUUUCUUUUGUCCGAGAAGCUCAAGUGAUUUAGCUUUAAACUCUCAACGACCCAUUGCAGCUAGAAACUUUAAGACAAGUGAUUAGUUCUUGUCUCAUAUAAUUCAGUUUCAACCACAAUACACACACUGACAUCAGCUUAUUGUUCAAAAGCAGUAGCUCCAUAGGAUGAAACAAAUAACUUCCUCUUAGUCAAUUAAUACUUUAAUUAGAUAUGGUCUUUAAGAAACUAAAUACAACUUAUUCAAGGGUAUUUCCACUAGCCAACCACAGACCCUUAAAUCCUUAAGGACUAGAUAUACUAAACUAUUCUAAAAGGUUUAAAAUAUGUUAAAAGAUAACACAUGACUGGAAAGUUAACCCAAUAUGGAACUUUUGUCAUCACUGAAUUGAGAAAAAGUCAGCAUCACAUUUCACCGAAGUCCAUUGUUUGACAAAUUUGUGACAUUUAAAACAUGAUGAUGACCACAUCAGUGUUCUUUCCCUUUUUUUUGCCAUUUGUAAAUAUGAGAGAGAUGGUUUCCCUUACUAACAAUAAAGAAUUCAAACAAAAAGUCAAAAAUUCAAAGAAGAAACAACUAUGUUUGCCAAUAUCCAACAAUUAGUCCCCACAAUUAUCACACGAAGAACAUAUUCCUGCAAUUUCUUUUUUGUCUUAAAAUCUCAGCCUGAUCAAGGGAAGAGAUUAUUAGCUUCUCAUAUACGUUCCUAUCGUUCUUCUUCGCAACAAUUUUACAUUGAAAAGUAGAGCUCGGAGAAGUAUGAAACACAAGCAAUCAAACACUUAACACUCAUUAAAGAACAGAAACCAAAUGAGAGUGAUAUAAAUUAUAAAGCGCCCAAUUUUUAACAUUUUUAAACAACAAAGAACUCAGAUUUAUUCCAUUCUAGACAAACCCAAACUAUAACCAAAAAAUGAAAUUUCAGAUUCCACUGGUAAUGACAAAAUUGAGUAAAAAUCUCACCUUGGACUUGUUUUUGGUCCCUUUACUUUUGCCACCAACCUUGGUAUAGCAGAACCUAAAGGCAAUGAAAGGAGAAAUAUGGGUCAUUGGGCAGCAAAGAGACAAUUGUCUACUCUUUUUUUACAUUGUUGGUUUAGCUAAACAUAUAAGGUGAGGUGGUUGGCAGCUUUCAGGCUCCUUUGCCCAUGGUUAACUUCACGACUUUUGAACAGUCUAUCUAUUCCGUUCCCAUCUAACUUUUGGAUUUUUCAUUUUGUCUUAUUUUAUUUAUGUCUAAAUCAAAAAAGCACGGAGUAAAAAAUAUAGAUUAUGCUAGAUUAAUUAUUUUAUUAUAUUUAUAAAAAUAUAUUCAAAUAAAUUGAAAUAGGCAAUUGAGUCUUAACUCGAUUGAGAUGUGUAUUGUUGCCAAUAUAGGGAGACGUGAGUUUAAGUGCGCUGAAGUGCAUUAUCCUCGUAUUUAUAGGUUGGGAGGGGCUAUGGAUAGUUCUAAGUAUUGUGUCAAAAAGAACAAAUAGAAUAAGAACCUAUAUUGAGAUUGUUCAAAAAUAAAAAUAAAUUAAGAUAGUAAAAUAUUUUACAUUUGUAUUUUUGUUUUAAGUUGAAAUUUAUAUUUUAUAUUAAAUAUAAAAUGAUAAAAAUAUCCUUAUAAUAAUGUUUUUUAUUUUGUAAAAGAACUGAGUUGAAACUCGGUUAAAGUGAAUCAACCCUUUAAAUAACAAUAUAAGUAAAUAAAAAAGGAAUAAUGUCAAAUUUAGUCAUUAACGUUUACAUGUUUUGUUGACCAUCAAUAUUGAACAAUUGUCAACUUCGGAGAUUAACUUGGACCAUAAAAAGUUUAAGCCCUAAUGUGAAAACAAUUGUCAAUGCAGGAAUACUUGCCAAGUUUACCCCAAAAAAUAUAUUCACUCAUUGUAAAAAGUCAAUCGCGCAACACGGGAUCAUAUUCCUAGUAUAAUAUAAAACCAACUUUUAAGGGAGUUUUAGAAAUAAAUAGGGACAUAAUGAUCUUUUUAUAUUUAUAUUUUUUUCACUUUUUAUUAUUCAUCCAAGUUAAAUAGAGGUAAUAUUGGUAUUGUAAAUCAAUUUUUUUAAUUUAUAAUGUUAUGUUUAUUUAAUUAAUAAAUUAUAGUUAUAUAUAACAACUCGAAAGCUAGUGGUAUCGAAAAUUGCGAUUUUUGAGAUAUCAUUUCCGUAAAUUGAGUUUGUAAAUAUUAAAUAGGGAUAUUGCGGAAUUAUUAUAUUGAUGAAUUGAAAUUUGGUUAAGUGAUUUAGCAAAAAUUGUGAGUAAUUAAGGUUUAGGGAUUAAAUUGUAAAACUCCAAUCGCUAUAAAUUUUUAAUUAAGAAAUGGAUUGAAGACCUAGAUAGCAAUUAUCCAAGGGAUUAAAAGGGUAAAUAAACCAAUGUAAUUUAUAUAGAUGGUGGGACAUAAUGAUGGUAUCUAUUAUGACUAAUUUAUAAUUAAAUCAAACUAAACAUGUUUUAAUAAUUAAUUAAACUUAAUUAAGUUAAUUAGUUAACUAAUUAUAUUAUAUAUAUGUUAAGAGGGAUGAAAGCUUAUAAUCUCUCUCCCAACCGAAACCACCAUUGAAGAAAGGAAGAAAAUUUCAAGGUUUUCGUCAAACUUUCGGCUUUAUAAUAGGUCAUGCAAUCUAGUCAUUUUCUUGUAAAUUUUAUGGAUUUGAGGUCAUAAGAGCUUGAUUUAGCUAACUCAUAUACCAAUUUUUGAAACUGUUAAAGAUUUAGAAAGUUACCAUUGUUGAUUUCUUGAAGAAUUAGGUGUGAAUUUGAUAGAAUUAAAUUUAGUUUAAGAAAAUGACUAAAUUGUUAAUUACGUACAUUAAAGACCUAAUUGAAUAAAAUGUAAAAUUUUUGAGAACUUUUUGUAAGGAUAAAAAAUAGAGGGUCCCUAAUGGGUUUUGGUGAAAUUUGAUUUUAAUCCGAGGCCCUAAAUUGAAAGUUAUGUUUGUCCUUAUUUUAGGGACUAAAUUGAAUAAAUUACAAAAUAUGUAUGAAUUUGAAAUUGAAUGUGAUUUAAUAUGGAAUUUUUUUAUUGUAUUAUUAUUUAAAAAUUAUUCGUAGCUAAAGACGAUGCAAUACCGUUGAGAAGGAAAGGAAAGGCAAGAGUCAACAACGAGUGGCGCGAGCUUUCGGUUUGUGUUUCUAUGAUUUGGAACCAUCUAUUUUCUACAUGUUCAUGUUCAUUUGCAUUAUAUAAUAUUGAGGUGAGUUGCUAUUGGAUUUUUUUUAAUUGAAUUUCUUUGGUUGAGAUCGAAUAUUGAGACACAGAUUAAAUUGAAUAGAAUAGAAAGUUGAAUGACUUAACUGAUAUAGAAAAUUGGUAUGAAAUUAAGUUGAAUUAUGUUAUAAUGUAACACCCCUAACCCGUAUCCGACGCCGAAACAGGGUUACAGAGCAUUACCGAACUUACAACUUAAACAAUUAUACAUUUCAUAAUAAAUUAUCAUUCAAAUAAAAAACUAUUCAAAUACAUUCAUACAGUCCCUAAUACGAGCCCUCGAGGCCCCAAAUAGACAUUAAAAGUGGUUCGGGACUAAACCGAGUACUCAAGAAAUUUUUAGAAAAAAACAUUAAAACUUUUCAAAGUGCAGGGGACACACGCCCGUGUGGUCAGGCCGUGUGUCUCACACGGCUAAGAGACACGCCCGUGUCUUAGGCCGUGUGGGCAUUCGAAAUGGGGACACACAGCCGUGUCUCAACCCAUGUCUGACCCUAUGUAACUCACUAACUUGGGUCGCAUGGCCAACCACACGCCCAUGUGUCAGGCCGUGCAUCAUUCGAAAUGGCCUCACACGCCCGUGUUCCAGAACGUGUGCUAGGCCGUGUGAAAAAUAAAGGGUAUACUGACUUGUGCCACACAGUCAAGCCACACGUCUGUGUUCUAGGCCGUGUGAAGCUACCGACUUGAUUUCUAUAGAAGUAUCAAGGGACACACGGUCGUGUCACUUGGCCGUGUGUCACACACGGCUGAGACACACGCUCGUGUCUCUGCCUGUGUGGAUAAAAAUAGGUCAUUUUCUAAGCCAUAUUCCUCACCCACAUUGGUACCAACAUAUACACAUCAAUUUGCACAUAACCAUGGUAUAAAUAAACACUCAAAACCAACCAAUAUCAAGAUUAUAUCAUGUACUAUCCACACAUACAACAUAAUAUCCAUAAGCACAUUUAUAUGACCACUUUUAAACAUGCCAAAUAUACUUCCAAAGUCUACCUAAAUGGUUAAUCACAUAUAUGAGACAUUGUGCCUAAAACUUAGCAUACAUACAUAUCUAAAACACAACCAUUUAGUGCCAACACACAAUCUCACAAGCAAGGCAUUCAUAUAGCAAUUAUACACCACAUAUAAACACAUAUACCAUUUUCAAGCCAAAUCAAUUGACUAAAUAUACAACAAAACAUAUAGGCCACAUUAGCUAAAAUACCUAUACAUGCCAUUUAACCCAAAAUAUAAAGUCCAAAGUACUAAGAUAAGAGUUUGAUAAUGUGACGUGAUCUCCAACAACUUCCAAAUUGAACGAGCUUCUGAAUCAUUAUAAAACAAGGAAAUUAAAACAGAGUAAGCAAUUAAGCUUAGUAAGUUCGUAUAACUAGAAAUACAACUUACCAUUCAUUUACAAUCUAUAUAAGCAAAAAUUAAGACAUAGAUUAACUCCAUUUGGCCCAAAGCCUAACACAUAAUCCACAAUCAUGUUAGCCAUGUAUGAAUAUAUCAAAAUGAAUUACUUCUCGUAUUUCACAUGAAUACCUCUACUAGUUUGUUUCAAUCUCGUAUAACUUCGUAUCUUGAUUAUGCCCAUUGAACCAUUUGGAAUACUAUCGGAUAUUCGGGUAUCUCACACACUAAGUGCCAAUAUGUGGUCGAAACCACCUCUAUCUCAUAUCUCAUAUAGAUGCUUACUCUCGAGCCAUCACUGGGUCUACUCACACAAGUUGUCAGUCAAGACAUAGCUACACGGUGCUGCUCAUACAAGCUGUAAAGUAACCGUAACACAUGUCGAAAACUCAGCCACCGGUAGGACGUACGAGACCAACACCCAAAACACGGUAACCCUUAAUGACAUGUCAUUGGUAUCCUAUCUAUUCCUAAGGUUCAACCAAGAUCCAAUGCAUAAGUCGUCGAAUCUUUGUCGAGUAUUUCCAUAGAGUCAUAUCAUUACAAUUAUAAUAAUAAAGCAUUUAAAACACGUAUAAUUUAAUGCUUAUUAACAUACGAACUUACCUCGAAUUAGUACGAAAAAAAUCGAUUGAUCAAUCUACUACUUUAUCUUUUCCUCGAUUUAAUUCAGAGUGUUGUUUUUCUUGAUCUAUAUAUAGCAAAUUUAACUAAUUUAAUUCACAUUCUACUCAAUUCAAUCCCAAAAUUCAUGUUAUGGAAAAAAUAUCAUUUUGCCCUUAUACUUUUGACUUCUUUACAAUUUAGUUCCUAAGCUCGUAAAAUGAAAUUCAUGCAAUUUCAUCCACAUCUAAGCCUAGCUGAAUUUACUAUAUGCUUAUAGCAGCCUACACACUCCACAAAUUCACACAUUUAACACAAAAUUUUCACAUUUCACAAUUUAACCCCUAAUUAGUAAUUUUAUUAAAAUUCCUUUAACAAAAGUUGUUUAUUUAACAACAAAGAUUCAUUUUCUUCCAUUAAAAUUCAAAACCCUAGCAUUUUCAUCAAUGGAAAAUCUCAAAAUAUUCAAUAGUUUUGCAUAUUAGUCCCCUAGUUAGCUAGGUUAAGUUACAACGAUCCCGAAAACAUAAAAAUCAUAAAAAACGGGCUUAAAAACCACUUACAUGCAAGGGUUUAAGUUGCUGAAAUUUUGAGCUCUCCAAUGGCUAUUUUCUUGGUGAAAAAUAGGUGGAAGAUGAAAGAAUGAAUAAUUUUUCUUUUGUUUUAUUUAAUUUACUAUUAGUUACUUAAUUACCAUUUUACCCUUACCUAACUUUAAAAAUUACUCAAUUACGAAGCCAUGCACAUCCACUAACUGAUUUAAUGGCCUAAUUACCAUAUAAGGACCUCCACUUUAAAUUUCUAUAGCUAUUUAACACAUUUAGCUAAUAGAACACAACUUUCACACUUUACACGAUUUAGUCAUUUUUCGCAAAUUGAGCAUACCAAUGAUAAAAUUUCUUAACGAAAUUUUUAUACAAUAAUACUAUCAUGCUGUAGACCAUAAAAUAAUGUUAAAAUAAAUUUUACAACUUCAAAUUUGUGGUCCCAAAACCAUUGCUCCGAUUUCACUGAAAACGGGUCGUUAUAUAUAACAUAUGAUGAAAUGAUGUGGACUUGAGAAUGAUGGGACGUGAAUUGAACUAUGUGAUAAAAUUGGAAAUUGGUUACUUUAUUAGCUGUACAAGUUUAUACUUUGAUAUAUUUCAUGAUGCACUUACGUGUCAUUAUAUUUACUUCGGUAUAUCUGAUAAUGCUAUUACGUGCUAGUAUGAUUAUUCCAGUUUAUCUAAUGAUGCACUAUGUGUGCCAGUAUAAUUACUUCAGUUUAUCCAAUAAUGAAUUACGUGUGCCAGUAUAAUUGCUUUGGUUCAUCCAAUGAUGCACUUCGUGUGCCAAUAUAAUUGCUUUGGUUCAUUCGAUGAUGCACCUCGUGUGCCAAUACAAUUGCUGCGACUUGCUCGAUGAUGCAUUAUGUGUGCCAUUAUCUUUCCUUCGGUUUAUUUGAUAAUACAUUGUGAUGCCAAAUUAAAAUGAAGUGUGAUGGAUCCGUGUAUCCGAUCUGAUUUCGAGUAGGUUAAUAGGGUUACAAAUGAAUGAAUUGUAUAAAUGUUAUGUGAACUGAUAUAUGAAUUUGAAUUGUAAUAUGCGAAACAAAUGGAAAAUGAGCCCUAGGGGCCGAUUAAGUACAAAUGAGUUUAUGGACUCAGAAACGGUUGAAAAUGGUAACAUGAGAUUAAGUAUAAAUAUAUGUAUAAAUGAGUUCAAAAUGAUGAAUUUAUAUUUGAGAAUUGAAUGGUAUGUUUAGAUGCUCAUGUGAUGAAUUGAGUUGUAAAAGAGAAUGUGUACAAGUUAAGUAGAAAUGAUAGUUUUGACAUGAAUAGGUAAAUGAAUUGGCAUGUAAGAUUGGUAUAAGCAUAACUAUAUGAAAUUGAAAGUGUUUGACAUAAAAAUAUGAGAUUGGAUUAGGAAUUGAAUAUGUGCAUUUUGAAUAAUCUUAUUAUAUUGUCUUGAAUCAUAGAUUUACCAUUAGACGUAUUUUCUCAACGUACUGUUUGUUUUUCUCUGUGCGUAGGUAAAAUAGAUUCUGGUAGUUCGAGCAGUUGAUCCAACAUCCAACAAUCAAUCCCUGACUCAACAAAGUUCAUACAAAUUCUAUUUUGUUCUAAGUUUGGCAUGUACCUAAGUUGAUUUAUUUUUGGUAUAAUUAUGUUACAUGCAUUUUGGUUCAAAAAGUUAAUGUAUGAAUUUGGUUAAUUGAUUAUGGCUUGUAAAAAGAUUUAAGUUUAGUUUGAAAUAGUAUGAUAUCUGAAAUAUUAAUAGCCUUGGUGAAAUAGGUAUGAAUGUAUAUAAAGCAUUUGCAUUCUAUUGAGUAAGUAUUAAAGUACAUGAAUUGAAGUUAGAGGGUUACAUGUGUUAUCUAAAUAUGAAUUGAUUGUGUUUAGAGAUUGGUUGGAAGAAAAUUACAGGUUGAUGUGUAUUAAAAAUGCAGAAUCAGUAUGUGACGUCACAUUGUUGUUCGGACAUCAUCGCGACGAGAUCUGAAUACCAUGGCACGAUGCGACACCAGAUUUGGUCAUUGCAACGAGGUUAGACAAUAUGUUGCAUGGCAACAAGGAAUCCCCUGAUGUCACGACGUAAACUCAAUGUUUUAAAUUUGUUACAAAUUGGUCAUUUUCCGUCUCGGGUUAAUUUUAAAGCUUCUGUAAGCUCGUAUAAGACCCGAAAAUUGUCGUAUAUUGUAUUGUAUGCUUAAUUGAGUUGAAAAUUGAACAUUUGAUAGUAUGAAUUGGCUAUGAUUGUUCAUAGUUGCUCCGGCAACGAUUGUGUCACCUUGUAACUCGAACUCGGCGAUCAUGUCAAGUAUCAAGGUGUUACACUAUAAGUCUUAUUGUUACAUUUUUAAUAAUUGUGUUUUAAUUAAUUUUUAAAUAUUUUAUUUUUAUUUAAAACCUUCCUUUUAUUUCUUUUGUUUUAAUUUUAAAUAUUUUAACGUUUAUUUUAAUUCUUUAAUUCGAUACCUUUUCUAAUUGCUUAAUUGGUAAUUUAAUUUUUUUACAGGUAUUUUUUUAUAUUAAUUUUUUUAAUAAAUGUUUCAAGAUUUGUUUGUGUAUAAUUAAACAACAUUCUUUGAUGUUUUAGAGUGCAAAUAGAGGUCAAGCAUUUAAAAACCAUCAUGACUGGCUUUUCUAGGAUUAGUGGUUUUUUUUAACCAAGAAAGAGGUUUUCUAAGGAUCGAGUCCAGGAUCGAUGUCAGUUAAAAGACUUCAUAUAAAGUCAUUUGCCACUUCAUUCGGGGUUCAGUCAAACAAUUUAUGCAUGUCUAUUCUACCAUAAAAACAAAUUGUAUUUACUGACAGUUUAUAAAAGAAACACAUAAUAAUUUAUUUGAUCCAUUAAUUUUAUAAAAAAAAUAUUUUUGUCAUUCAUUUAAUUUUUCAUCUUUUUUAACUCUUAAACUUGCGUUUUUUUGUCAAAUCAUCUUAAAAUGGAUGAAAAAAUUAACGUUUUUUAACCUUGUUGAUGUAGUAUACACGUGGAUUGCUACGUGGAUGACACGUAAGCAUUUAAUUACUUUUUUAAAAUUUAAAAAAAUAUAAAAAUAUUUUUCAAAAUUAAAGUUCAUUAAAAUUAUUAAAAAUAUUUUUAAUAUUUUUAAAAAUCGAUGGGUCAACUCAUAUAACGUGGGGAGUUUAUCUGGUAGGUUCCUGAUGAUAUGGUACUUGAGGAAAUAAUGUGUCAGCCAAAUCAUUUGAAACCCCCUUGGUGGUUAUGGUAGCUACUUUGAAGCAAUAAAUGAAGUCAUGAAGAGAUUCAUUCUCUUUUUGGUAGAUAGACAUGAGGUAUACAGGAGACUGUUGUAGAGUUUUGUUGGCAAGGAAACGACUCAUGAAAAGCUUGGCUAGUUAGUCAAAAGUGCAGAUGGAUUCUUUUGGUAGGGCUAAGUAUAAUGCUCAAGUGAUACGUGUAAGGGUCAUUGAGAAGGCACAACACUUCAGCGCAUUAGACAGGGGUGUGCAAAAUUCGGGUAAAAUCAAAAAAAUUUGGUUAACCGAUCGAAUUCAGUUAAUCGGUCGGUUGACCGAAUUUUUUCGGUCGGGGGUCGGUUAAUUAUUUUUUGAUUUUUCGAUUAACGGUUAAUUCGGUUCGAAACCAGUCGGUUAACCGAAUUUUUUCGAUUUAAUCGAAAAAAUUAAUAAAUAAAAUUACAAUAUAUAAAUAGGCCCACUAUUCACCUAAACCCAAUCCAAACCCAAGCAUUCAACCCAACCCAAUUACCCAACCCCAAUCAUAAAAAUUACAAAUAAUUUAAUAAAUAAAAAUAAAAUUCUAAAACUAAAACUAAAGUCUAAAAGUCUAAAAAUAAUUUAAUUAUGUAGUGAUUCAAUUUGGUUAAUUCGGGUAAUUCGGUUAAUUCGGGUAAUCCGGUUAAUUCUGGUAAUUGGUUAAUUCGGUUAAUUUUUAACCAAAAAUAAAAAAAUAUAAUUUUUGGUUAAUUCGGUUAACCGACCGAAUUAACAGAAAAAAUUUCGGUUCGGUUAAUUUUUUUUGAAAACAUUUCGGUUCGGUUAACGGUUAAAAAUUUUGAAAGACCGGUUAAUUCAGUUAAUGUUAUUUCGGGUCGGUUAACCGAAUGAACACCCCUAGCAUUAGAGACCCCCUAGUAUAUUCAUAUGAUUAUUAUAAUGAGCCAAAUGAUCUUCUGGGUCUCUCGUACCACCAUAGGAGACCUUGGGGAAUUUGGAAGAUGUUAGGAAUAACUACUUUAUAGUUACUAUUAGUUAUUGUUAGUUAGUAAGUUGUUAAUAGCUUCAGUUAGUUGGUUUACUUGUAUUAAAUACUGACAUUGGUUUGAGUAAUUGAUAGAUAAGAAUUCCUUUCUACUUCUUUAUUGUUGAGGUUAACAUGGUAUCAAGAGCCAAAAAAUUUUAACAUAACGAUUUUUUUUCUUCUAUUCAUGGCCACGGAGGCAGUACUAGGGGUUGAUACACCACGUCACUCUUCCAAUAUUGGCGAAACAGUCCAUUCGCAGGGCCUUGGUAGUGGUGGUUUAUCAACAGUUCACUAUUUUGCCAAACACGAUACGAUCAAGCUUGCUGAGCAUAAUUUUCUAUUGUGGAAGCAUAAACUUUUGCUGAUUCUUGAAGGCUAUAGUCUUGAAGAGUUUGUGCUGGGCAUGGUUUCUGUCCCUCCUUCUUUUCUUGCAAGGGUUGAUGGUCAACUUGUUGAGAAUUCUGCUUUUCUUGUUCAUAAGAAGCAUGAUAAAUUUCUAACUUCUUGGCUCCUGUCGACCGUUACUGAUGAAGUCUUGGUCCAUCUCACAGUAGUUAAGACAAGUUUUGACAUCUGGACCACUAUUGAAAGAAGGUUUGGUACCACGUCUAGUAUCAAGAUUUUGAGUAUGCAUCAUGCUUUAUACUCGAUCAAGAAAGCCAACCUCACCAUUAAAGAAUAUUUGACCAAGGUAAAGACUCUCAGCGAUAGCUUAACAUCAAUUGGUAUUUAGUCACCGAGAAAAAACAAAUCAGUGUCAUAUUGGCUGGACUCUCUAUUGAGUAUGAGUCAAUCUGAGUUGUAACUCAAAUAUCCCUAGACUUGCUCACUGACAUGCUUCUUGACUGUGAAGCAAGACAACUAGCUCUAUUGGAAGAGGUUUCUUUGCAAGCAAAUUUGGUUACUAAACAUCAAGUUAGCACAGACUGUUUGAAACCUAUUUAUUCUCAAACUCCUAAGUAAGGGCAAAAGAGGUCAGGUCGAGGUUGGUCUCGUGGGAGAACUAGAGGUACUGGUGGGGGUUGGUCCCGCUCUAGGCUACAGUGUCAGUUAUGUGGAAAGAUUGGCCAUUUUGUUCAAACCUAUUAUCAUAGGUUUGAUGAGAAUUUCUCUAGUGUUAGUCAAAACUCUUCAGUCAACUAUCAUCAGGUUCACAAUACUGAUUUUUCAUCUUCUCCUACUGCAUGCUCAUCUAUGGCUCAUUGUUGUGGCUCAUUUUCUCAUUCACCACCUCCCCGAGCUCUUGCUCCCUUCAUCUCCGAUCAGACCUGGUAUCCUGAUUCUGGUGCAAUGAAUCAUGUUACACCUGAAGUGUCCAAUCUCACAACUGCCUUUCCCUACACAGGUACAAGCCAUCUUACUAUGGGAAAUUGUGAGUUUGUCUCUAUAGCUAAUGUAGGAUCAUCUACUUUCUUGGCUGGCUCCAGACUCCUGCGUCUUCAGAAUGUUUUACAUGUUCCUACAGCUUGUAAGAAUCUGAUGUUUGUGGGUCUGUUUGCUAAAGAUAAUGAUGUCUAUUUUAAAUUUCACUCGUUUCUGUGUUUUGUGAAGGACAUUCAAAUAUGGAUGACUAUGCUAGAGGGCCACAUACAUAAGGGUUUAUACAAGUUUCAAAUUUCAAAAUCUGCUCCUACCACAGUCAGUUCUACCCCAAAGCCUAGCUCACUUUUGCUGAACAAUGCUCAGAUUUUCUCCUCUUCUUUAUGGCACAACAGGCUUGGCCAUCCUUGCCAUAACACCUUUGCUCAUGUGUUGAAGUCUUGUAGAGUUCCUUUCAAACAAAGUAGUUUGCUUCGAAUAUGUACAGCUUGUCAGUUAGGCAAGGCUCGCAAGCUCCCUUUUCUUUUUUCACAUACAAUGUACUCUUCCCCUUUUGAACUUGUGGUAUCCAAUGUAUGAGGACCAGCUCAUAUACCUUCAAAUGGUUUCUCUUAUUACGUUUCUCUUGUCGACAUGUAUAGCAGAUACACUUGGAUUUAUUUUCUCAAAAACAAGUCUAAGAUGGUUCAGUGUUUUUUAAAUUUUCAUCAGAUGGUUAAAGUACAAUUUGGUCAUUCUAUUAAAAUACUACAAACUGACUAGGGGGAGAAUAUCGUGUCUUAUCAAAGGAGCUCUCUCAACUUGGUAUACAGCACAGGGUCACUUGUCCUUACACCAUAGAGCAGAAUGGGGUUGCUGAAAAAAAGCAUAGACAAAUAAUUGAUAUGGGCUUGUCUCUUUUAGCUUAGUCUGCUAUGCCUUUAAAAUUUUGGUUUUAUGCAUUUGCACAUGCAGUUUACUUGACCAACAGACUACCUACUCCUGUUUAGCAUCAAGUUAGUUCUUAUGAAGCACUUCACAAACUUAAACCUGACUAUGGUCUUCUACGGGUGUUUGGUUGUGCUUCUUUUCCUGAUCUGAGGCCAUUCCAACAACAUAAGUUACAAUUUCGAUCUCAAAGGUGUAUGUUUCUUGGUAGUGCUCCUAAUAAAAAGUGUUAUAGGUGCCUUGCUAAAGAUGGUCAGAUUUUUUUAUCUUGAUAUGUUCGAUUUGAUGAGACUCAGUUUCCAUUUCAUGAUGGUUUCUAUUCACAGUCUCAAGUCGGUUCUAUAAGGGGUCUUCAUCAGUAGUUCGUGCUUCCUCUGGUUGUAGCUAAUGAUUCUCUUGAACACACCUCCACACAGACAGUCACAAGGCCAGCCAAGGUCUCUAUUGUGGCACCUUCCCUUGUACAGUCUCCCAUUACUCACUCUCAUUCCAGUCCUUCUGCUGACUUCCCAGCAGUAGCUGAUGUGCCUACACCUUGUGGUCAGACUAAGUGUACUACAGCAGCUUCUUCGAGUGUGAACAUUCACCCCAUGCAGACUCGCUCCAAAAAUGGUAUUUUUAAGCCCAAAGUCUUUAUUUCUAUUCUGACUGAGAAGGAGCUCAUGACUAUAAUCGAAGCCUUUCAGAGUACUAUUUGGACAACAGCUACACAAGCUGAAUACAGUGCUUUGCUCGCUAAUCAUACUUGAAACCUUAUGCCCUUACCUGAAGGUCGUCGCGCUGUUGGUUACAAAUGGAUCUUUAAGAUCAAGAGACAUACAGAUGGCUCAAUUACUCGAUACAAAGGCAGACUAGUUGUUAUGGGAUACCUGCAGGAAGCUGGCAUUGACUUCCAGAAAACUUUCAGCCCUGUGGUUAAGCCAACUACAAUCAGAGUGGUCCUUACAUUGGCAGUGUCUUUAAACUGUCCACUUAGACAAGUUGACAUUAAUAAUGCUUUUUUGAAUGGGGAUUUGAGUCAGGAAAUUUACAUGAUGCAGCCACCAAGGUUCGAGCAACAAUGGCCAAAUAGUGAGCACCUAGUCUGUAAACUAAGUAAGGCUUUGUAUGGUCUUAAGCAAGCACCUUGGGAUUGGUUUCAUAAGUUGAAAGACUUUCUGGUAACCACAAAGUUCGAAGUCUCCAAAGCUAAUAAUUCUCUCUUCAUUCUUCGGUCAGAAUCUCAAUUGCUUUAUGUUUUAGUCUAUGUUAAUAACAUUAUCAUCAUUGGGAAUAAUUCUCAGGCUAUAGACCAGUUUGUUACUCAGUUUAAUGAUCAGUUUUCUUUAAAAGACUUAGGGAAGUUGAGCUACUUCCUUGGCAUCGAAGUCAACUACACUUCAGAAGGUGUGUUCCUUACUCAGAAAAAAUAUAUUCUUGAUCUACUUCAAAGAGCCUUCAUGGAUAGAUCAAAUGGCUUGCCAACACCAAUGGUCACUACAUGUCAUCUGUCAGCUGAUGCAGGCAGUCUUGUUGAGGAUGAGCGUCAUUACAGGAGCAUUGUUGGUGCCUUGCAGUAUGUGGUAAUUACUAGACCUGACAUUACUUACUCCGUAAACAAGGUUUGCCAGUUCAUGCAUAAACCUUUGGACUUGCAUUUCAAGGCUGUGAAAAGGAUAUUGAGGUAUUUACAAGGGACACUAAACUAUGGGUUGAGAUUCACCCGAGCCUCAAAGUUUUUGCUUGAAGGAUACUCCGAUGCCAGUUAGGGGUCAGAUGUUGAUGAUCGCAGAUCAACCUCAGGCUUCUCUGUGUUUCUUGGAGGGAAUGCAAUUUCCUGGAGCUCAAGGAAACAACAAGUAGUCUCUGGGUCUACAGCAGAAGCAGAAUACAAGAGUGUUGCUCAUGUUAUUGCAGAAAUAGUGUGGAUGCAAUCCUUAUUGAUUGAGUUAUAUGUUCCAGUUUUGAAUAAGGCUUUGAUAUGGUGUGAUAGCUCAGCUGCGGUUGCAAUAGUAGGGAAUCUUGUUAUGCACUCUAAGUUCAAGCAUGUCGAGUUGGACCUAUUCUUUGUUAGAGAAAAGGUUGUAGAUGGGAUGUUCCAAGUAGGACAUGUACCUGGUUCAGAUCAAAUUGCGGAUAUAUUGACAAAAACACUGUCAGUAGCAAUGUUCACCAAGUUUCGAGAUCAGCUUCGAGUUGUUGCUAUGAAUCAGGAGAUCUUUGAUGGGAAGAAAAGUUGACAACUACGAGGAAUGUUAGGAAUAACUACUUUACAAUUACUAUUAGUUAUUGUUAGUUAGUAAGUUGUUAAUAGCUUCAGUUAGUUGGUUUACUUGUAUUAAAUACUGACACUAGUUUGAGUAAUGUAUAGAUGAGAAUUCCUUUCUACUUCUUUAUUGUUGAAGUUAACAGAAGAUAGGAAAUUAUGGGUCAACACUUCUGGAGAAAGGGGUUUAUUGGAGUAACUCCAAGAAGUUCUAUUGGCUUUGGCCCUUCAAACUUUUUGCCACAAUUCCAUUCUCAAUGCUAUCGUAUGCUCCUCCAUUGAUGGUUAUUGUUAGUGGGUAGGUCAUUCGAUUGAUGGCGCUCGUGGUCAUUGCAGAUGGUAGAUUGGGCUUCAUUGUUAAGGUAGACUAGAUUGCCCCUCUUGGGGAUCUCAUGGGUAGAUAUGAGCUCAACUAUCAAUUGCUCAUUCAGAGCAUUUUUUUUGUUAAGGAGGCGCUAACACUUUUUUUGCUAUUGGAAACAGUGCUGUUGCUCAAAAAGUCGCUCCUCUGUACGCUGCAUCAUCUCUUGCAUCUCAAUGACUUGAUGCUAAGAGCCAGAUGGUUGCUGGUGACAAGUUUGAUCCAAGGGAGUAGCGGUGGCAACUGCUUGAUGGGGUGGAGCGACAAGGUAGGAAGAGAGGGCAUAUUGCAGGUAUUGUGAUGGAAUUCUCUAGGGACAUGGAAGGAGGUGUUAGAGGUUGACUUAGACUUUGAAGAGACAUGCUAGUGGUAGUGGGAUGAUGUGAGUAGUUGGAAAAGUGGUGGAGAGGUUGAGAAUGUAAUGGAAAGGCAGAAAAAUAAAACUCUAGGGAAAAAAGUUGUAAUAAAUAUAAUUAUAAUUUAUCAUAAUUAGUUAACAAUUUUUGACUAAAUAAAAGUUGGUGCUAAUUUUAUUGAUGUAAAAUAAAGUUAUUAUUUAAAUAGAAUUUUAAGCAUAUUAAUUAUUAUUUAAUUAAUAAUAUAGUUAAUUAAGUAAAUUAAUUAUUAUUUUAAAUAAUGUUACUUUACAUUAAUGUAUCUAAAGUAAAAUUAUAUUGUAAAUUGAAAAUGUUAAAAAAACUUUAAUUAUUAUUUAAAAAAUUUCUGUUAUAAUAUUUGAAUUGGUACUUAAUAUAUUCUAACUAUAUUCAAUAAUUCAAAUAAAAAAUAUUAUUUAUAUUAAUUACUAUAAUUUAAAAUUUAAAAUUUAAAAUUUAAAAUUUAAAAAAUUAAUUAAAUAUUAAACCAAUAAAAUCACAUGCAAUAUACAAAUUAAUUUAUUAAAAUAAUUGCUAAACAAUUGACAUCCUCGUAUAUUUGAAAAAAAUUAUCAAAGAGUCCUUUUGUAAUAAAAAGAAUAAACUAUAAGAGUAAUCAUCUAAGUUUGCACUUGAUUUAGUCUUAAAUUUAAAAUUUUAACAAAUUUGAUCAUUGAUAUCAUAAAAUUUAAAUUUGUUAGGUCAAUAAAAAUAAUCAAGUUAAACUUUUUGUUAUUGAAUUAAUUGCAACUAAAAUAUGGAAAUUUGAGUGAUUAAAUUGAAAAAAAGUUAAUAGUUAGAGGAGUUUAAAAAUAAAUUUUAUUUAAAAGAAAAUUAAAAAACAAAUUGAAAUAAAAGAAAGGAAAGGAAACUACCUGGCGACUUGUAGUUGCCAGUUGCCUGCCUCAGCCAACAACAAAGCCAUCUUCGACUUCUUCUUCUUCUUCUUCUUCUUCUUCUUCGUCAAUUACUCAAUUUCUAUUUCAUAUAUUUCUUAUUAUAAUUCAUUAUUACAAUUUUUUACUCCAAUUUCUAAUGAGACCAAUACGCCUUCCCGAACCUCCCAGCCCCACCAUAGGAGUGCCGGAGAUCUUCGAAGGCGGCGCCUACAGCGUUAUCAGACGCGCCGUCAUCAUCGGCAACGGCUACCCUGGAUCCGAGAAUCAGAGUAUCGGGUUGGUCCGAGCUCUCGGCUUAUACGACAAGCAUGUUCUUUAUGUAACUCCAUUUCAUUUCACCCCUUAUCUGAAUCUUUUUAGCUUUGCUCUAUUGAUUGCUAGGGUUACUCUAUUCUUCUUAGUUACUAUAAAUUUGACAAAACGAUUACUGGGGAAAAAAAAAAAGGUUCUUAGUUACUAUUGAUCUCUAAAUUAUUACUAUUUUAUUAAUUGAUUAUCCGUUGUACUGAUACCAGCGAGUUACGAGGCCAAGAGGAGGGAUAAACGAGUGGCUUCUUUGGCUUCCAGUUAGUCUUCACCAAAAAUUGGAUUAUCUCAUCCAGCUCAUUCAAAUUUACUCCCGAGGGAGGAAUUAUGUGCCUUUACCUCUAGAAAAUGGUGGUGGAAGUGUUGGCUUGGCUUCUGUUUUAGAAGCUGAUGUUAAGCAGAUCGUAACCAUGGCUCGCCAGACUUUUGAAAAGUACUUCAACAUCGGUUAUCGAAUAUGCUUAUAGUUGUUAAGCCUAGAUAGUAUGUUUAUAUAGCAUAGUCACCGUCGGGUCGCAGAAAGGUUCAGUAUACUUUCUUAGGAUUUGGAGGAAUUUCAUGAAACCUGGUUCACACUUCAAUGAUUGUAAAUGCUAGUGUUUUAUUACUUUUCUUGAUAAUUUGAAUCCAUGUUUGACUGAUUACAGUAUAAAAUUUGGUAUCUUUUGUUGCAUGUUGAUUAUUUCGUCUGGUACUUAUGGAUGGUUUGAUGGUUUUUUUUCUAGGGAUGGUCCUUUGCUGGUUGUUGCAUCAGGAAGAGAUACCAUUUCAGUUGCAAGUUCUAUAAGACGUUUGGCCUCGGAGAAUGUUUUUGUCAUUCAGGUUUGUAAUGGGCCUUAAUUUGGUUUCUACUUUUUAUCCUUCCUAGCAUGCGUCACCUUUAUUUUCUAUUUACGGGUAUGCUGGAAAAAGAGGAAAAAGUUACCUCCUGCUCCAUUAUGGUGAUAUAAUCAAUGUGUCAUGUCUUUAUUCACACAUUCCUAGGCUUUAUGAUGAGCUUAGAAUGAGUUUACUAGAAAUAAUGAAUUGAAAUUUGCAUUACUGAAAAGAAUCGUGCUCUAGAAAGCCACUUUAAGUGUUUAUUUGCAAAGUUCUCUCUCUCAAUCUUGCAUCUAUGUGGUAUCUACAAUCUAUCUUACUCUCUCCUUGUUCUUAUGCCAUCCUUAGUUGCUUUUGAUCUUAUAUCCUAACAUAAAUUGGAUUUUUUGUUGCAUAUUGUUAUUUAACUUGUUUGGCAUGUUUCCAGAGUAUGAUAGCUUUAUUUAGUUGUUGUAUAUCUAAAUAUCAGUUUUUGCAAUUUCCUUACAUUGCAGAUACAACAUCCUAGGUCACAGUUGAAUAGGUUUGAUUUGGUGAUCACCCCUCGUCAUGACUUCUAUCCAUUAACUCCUCAAGCUCAAGAACAGGUUCCACAGUUUCUUCACAGGUGGAUUACUCCGCGUGAACCUCCUGAUAGGCAUGUGGUAUGUAUUGUCAAUCUAUAUUACUACUAUUUGCGUACUUGUAGGAACUCUAGCUUUUGGUUAAACUUUUAGUUUCUAUCUACUGCUGAAGAUAGGUUUGUUGUCAACUUUUUACAUCAGAUACUCACUUUGGGAGCUCUACAUCAAAUUGAUUCAGCUACACUUCGCAGCACAGCUGCUGCAUGGCAUGAUGAGUUUGCACCUCUGCCAAAGCCCUUACUAGUGGUUAACAUUGGCUGGCCUACAAGUAACUUUUCAUCUUGCUUUGAGACUUGUUUUUACAGCCCGCCCCACCAUAUUUGGAGCUUGUUUUUCUCUCUUAUAGAUUUGUACAUUUGAUUUGUCUGAUCAUAUUUUUAUGCAUGUUAUCUAGAGAUACCUUGAUGCUGGUUAGGGAUCUUUUAGUCUUUAUGGUUGCCACUUUGCAAAUAAUAUUCAAACUUGGUCUCUUCAUCCUCCUUUUUUUUUGCUUUAUAUAUAAAAUUUCAUGAUGCUGAACAUUUUACAUGGUGGUAAUUCUUCAUGAACUUCGCUUAGGUUGUAGUUUUUGGUUAUUUUAUUUUUCCUUGAAAAGGAAAUGAGAAUGACUUGGAGCAUGGUCACUUUUUUUCUUAAUCUCCAAUAAAUACUUGGAUUUUGGUGUAAUUAGAUACUCAAAUGAAGAUUCUUUUUUUUUUUCCCCUCUGCUAUUUCUUUUAACCCUAUGCUUUAAUGUUUUUUUUGUAUGUUCAUCGGCUUUCUGGUUUUCUCUGCAGGCCACUGUCGAUAUGGUGCAGAUCUUGCAAAGCAGCUAACUGCCUAUCUUCUCAAUAUCCUUUCAAGCUGUGGCACUGUCCGAAUAUCCUUCUCCAGUAGGACGCCCGAAAAGGUUUUAAUAAAUGACAAUUCACUCAUAAUUUCUUUCUUUUCUUCUAUGAUGACUAAGAUUAUGUAGUUUUUACCAUCAACUUGGCUGACAGGUAUCAAAGAUUAUUGUGAAAGAAUUUGCUGAUAAUUCAAAAGUUUACAUCUGGGAUGGUCAAGGUAUAUUCAGUUGAUUAAAUUUAGUUUACAAGUGAAGUAUAGAUUGUAUUUAAUGAGAUUUAUAUGUCUAUCUUCAGAACCAAAUCCACAUAUGGGGCAUUUAGCUUGGGCAGAUGCUUUUGUCGUCACAGCAGACUCGGUUAGUCUGAUAAGCGAGGCUUGCAGUACUGGGUACGAUCAUUCUUUACUGAUAUUGUUGAACAUGUUGAACCCUCUGGAUUAUUUAUUUUAUUGUGUGAAAUUCGGAGUUAGAAUCCACUUUUGGUUCCUUGCAGGAAACCUGUCUAUGUUAUGGGGCCUGAGCGUUGUAAAUGGAAACUAUCAGACUUCCAUAAAUCUUUAAGGGAACGAGGUGUGGUUCGGCCAUUUACAGGUUCUGAAGAUGUAAGUAAAUAUUCAAUGGCAUCCUUUCAUUUACUUUUAUUCCAUCCCUUUACCGUUAGACACAGUUUCACAAGACUGGAUGAAGUUACAUUUACACCCAACCACGAGACUGGGCUGAACCUAGUUCCUAACCAAUUUUCUGCUCUUUCAACCAUUAUAACUGGAUUAUAUUGAAUAACGAGAGCUCUUCCGGUAUUAAUUAUAUGAAUAAAUUCCCUGGUUGUCUUUUAGAUUGCAGAAAGCUGGAGCUAUCCUCCCCUCAACGACACGGCAGAAGCAGCAAGUCAGGUGCGUGAAGCACUUGCUGAGCGUGGAUGGAGGGUUCGGCCAUAACUGAAGGUGUCGAUAGUUGUUGUUGUAAGCACACUGUUGAUUUCCUUAUUUUUGAAACUUGAAGCCUUAAGAUUUGGGUUUGUUGAAUAGCAUAUAAAAAUACCACCUUCAAAUUCAUUCUUCCCCAUUCAGGGAUUUUCAAAAUAUUGUUACAUGUAGAACAAAGGCCUUAGCUAUUUAGAGCGGCUUGUAAAGCAUGAAGAGGAGGGACAAGCAUAAAUUUAUUUUAUUUUUGGAAGAGUUUGAUUUACACACCUGAAAAACAGAUCUGAUGAAAUGAAAUUUGACAACACGUCAUGCCAACAACAUCCCUCUGUGGUGCUAUAAAUGUGUAUUUUUCUACUGUCAUUUUCAAUUUUUAAUUUGCACGUGGAAGAGUGUUGUUUUCGUAUAGGUUAAGCAUGAGGCAUUCCAUAGAUCUACUUCAUCACAACAUUCUGUUCUUUCCUGGGAAAAUCUUAGCAUUAUUAGUUUUAAUAAACGUAGUGCAUUUGUUCACAGCUCUGGGCUUGCUUGAACUUCAUGCUGAUUUUGCUUAUGGUAAAGAUUAUAGGGGUAUCAUCCAGAUACAUUACAUUACAAGCGACUAGAAAAAAUUCAAUUUCAAUUUAAUUAUCAAGUUUUUUUUUUAGUAUAAUUGAGCAUUUCAAUAUUUAUUCCAAAUUGAUUCGCGUAAUUUUACAGUGUGAAAUUUCAUUUUUGGAAUAUAAUUAUUAUUAUAUUUUUGGAUUUUAAACAUUUUCAAGAGCUGGUAAUUUCUUAUUUUCAAGCAAAGGUAAUCCUAUUGGUGUGCCUUUCUUUCUUAAUCUUACGUUUCUUACUUUUAUUAUUAUUUUUAUCAUUUUGUAUGUACAAAGAAAUGUAACUUCGAUUAAAAACGGGAUUUCACUUUUAAACACUUUUCUUAUACAAUAUUUGAGGUAGGGAUGGGUGGGGAUAACACGGUUUGAAUUUGUGUUGAAUGGGUAUCUAACAAAAUAAGGAUGAGGUAAUACGGUUUGAAUUUAUACUAAAUGGGUAUCUUGCAAGAGUUUUAAUGGCUACUUUCAAGUACCAUUUUACCAACAUGUUUAUUAUUAAUUAUUAUAUUAUUUAAAAUAGUAUUUUGUUUUUAAUAAUUUUAAGAGUUAAGUGGUUAGUGAUGUAAUCACUUUCAAUGAAUUAUUAUAUUAUGAGUUUAUAAAUUUAUUGAAACAUCAUAUAUUUACUUAUUAAUAUAUAAAUUAUAAUAAAUAUAUUAUAAGUUAUAAUUUACCUAUAAUAAUAAUAUAAGUUUGGAAGAACUUUUGAACCGACGAGAAUAUCCUUUAUUUUUCAUAAGAAAUUUAAAAAUAAUUAUAACAUGGAAAAAAAAUUAGACAAGAAGAAGAAAUUUAUUAAAAAAAAGGGCAAAGAAAAUUGGGAAAACAAUUUUGCCAUCCCACGUUUUAUUAUUGGACCUUUAUAUAAAAUAAGGUUUAUUUUUGGAUGAAACUCACUGCUUUCAUUGCUCUUUUCUUUUGCCUUUGCUUCAGUGCUGUUUUUAUGAGAAUUGUUCAUUUGAAGACUAUAUUAUAUUAUUAAUUUAGAUUAAAUUAUAAUAAUCAAUCUAACUAAAUUGGUAUUUAUAAAAUAUCAUCAUCUUAUUAAAUUGAUAUUUUAGUAUAAAAUUAAGAUAAUAAGAGAAAUUCAUGUAUUAGGAAUAUAAUUAAUAAUUAAACAAAUUCAUUCAACAAUCAAACAAACAUAGACACAAAAGAAAUUUUAUAACUAACAAUGAUUAAUGAUUAAACCAUAAGUCAACUAUAUUUUUAAGAUGAAAUAAAACUCUAACCAAAUUUAUAAAUAAUAUUUAAUCAAGUAGCAUUUAAAAAAAUUACCGAUAAAAAAUAGAAAUUGUUGAUUUAAUAAUAAUAAUAAUUUAAUAAAAAUCGUGAUAAUCACAUUUUAAUAAAAACAGUGCAAGAAGAAAAAAAAAGAUUUAAUAUCCGCCGGAAGAGAAGGUUUGAUGUCACUAGCUCGCCUGACACGGGAAAGAGAAAUUACCCUAUCAUUAGUAGCCACGUCACUCUCGUAAUUUUCACACGUGUUCCACGACAGCAGAGUAAGCCAAGUAGGCACGUGUGGAAUUCAUGAGGGAACAUCGUCCGCGUCAUCACUUUCCCCAAACGGUGGUGCGUCAUCACUUUCCCCAAACGGUGGUCUUACCUUCGAUCCCACACCUCCUUAGGGCCAGUUCUUCAUUGCUUUUGAAAAGUGCUGUGGAGAAGUGCUUUUGAAUAUUUGAAGUGUUUGGCAUUGCUGUCAAAAAGUACUUUUGAAGAAUAAAAUGUCCAUUUUAGACAUAAUAUUAUAAAGUAAUAAAUAUGUAUUUAAAUAAUGUUCAAAUUAGUUAAUAUUAUGAUAUUUUAACAAAAAUAUAAAAAAAUAAUUUAUUAUAACUUAUUGUUAAUAUUUUAAUAUAUAAUAUUAAUUUUAAAUAUUUCUAAGUAAUUAAUAUUAAUUAUUUGUUAAAUUUAAUUAGAAUAUAUAAAUGAUAUUUAAAUAUUUAAAUAUAAUAAUUAAAUAUUUGUAAUUAGAUAUUGACACAUUUGUAUUAUUUUAUUUUAAAAUGUAUUUGAAUAUAUGACUCAUAUUAUAUGUUUAAUAACAAUAAUUAUCAAUAACAUCAUAAAUAGGAAAACAAUAAAAAAAUAUUUAGAAUUAUUAAUGUACCUGGAGCCUACUAUCCCACCAUUCAUCCGAUGCAUCAACGGUUCUUUUUAUAGGAUUCCAACCUAAACCAGUAUCUUCGGCUUUAAGUUUCUUCCAAGCUUUCCAUUCUUUUUUUAGGGCAUCCCACCUAUUUUUAAGUUGUCUUUGUGAAAAACCCUUGCCCGUUUCUUUCUCAAAGUUGGUCAUUAUUUUCAACCAUCCAUCUAUUGUGAAAUGAGUACCAGGCCUAUUGCCUUUCAAUAUCUCUUUAAUACAAAUAUCACAAAAUAUUUCUGUCAAUCUCUUAUCUCACAUUGCUUUUACUUUUUCAUCACUAACUUCAACCGCCGAAGUACUCAUCUAUUGUGUAUACAAACAGUCAAGAAAAUAAAAUGUCACAUAAGUAUAUAUGUUUAGAUGUGUAUAUAAUGAUAAUAAUGAAGUAAUCCAAGAAAUUGAUUAAUGAUAUAACUUAAAUGGCGCAUAUAAAAGUAAGGUUAAAUAUCAGGAACUAGUUUGAGAAAGAAUAAACAAAAGAAAACCCCACAUAGAAAUGGAAACUUGGGCAGCAAAAUUUUCACUAAAACUCAACAAUUUAAUAUACCAUAUAUAUUUUGAGAAAUAAAUAAAUUGCCAGUAAAAGAAAGGCUACCCGCGCUUGUUGAAGGUUAAGUUAUACAAAUACAGAAAGUUAAAGACUCAACAGUCUCUUCAGUUCUCGGUUACUGAUUGCAAAGAGAUUAGGGGCAGUUUUCUUAUUUUUAUUUUUAUUUGAUGAUCCAAACGGAAGCCUUUCUUUCAGCCUUUUUCUUCUCAAAUGGUCUCUUCUUCUCAUUAUCUCUCGCUCUUUUCACUCUCCUCAUACCUGCCCGUAAAAACUCUUUGACCAAAAAUGGAUAAAAAGUGAACAUGCACACGGAAAUCUUUCAAGAAAAACCCAGAAAAACUGAAAUUUAUUUAAGGAAAGUGAGAAAGGAACCAAAAGGUAAUCUUCAUAUCAGAAUUAAGAGAAAAAAAAAAAUUCCCCAGAUCUUUUUUGUUCUUUUGGUUGUUUAAACUGCGUUUGUCUUUCACUACACUUAGAUCCUUUUUCGUUCAUAAACCCCUUCAAGGUUAGGUUUUUAUUCUCUCUUUUACGACUUUCUUUUAAGGGUUUGAUAUGUAUAAGUUUUUUUACUAUGUGUGUCAUUUUUACCAUUGAUUGCAUCUAUAGAAUUGAUGUUUCAUAUUAUACAUGUUUCCUGGUAUUGGAUAUGAUAUGUGUGUGUGUGUGUCUAAACUUUGCUUCCUAAAAUGUUGGUUCUGUUCUUGUAAGAGAUUAGUAAUUUAAAUCUACUUAUGUUCAGAUAAGCGUUUAGAGGUAAUUGCAAACAGAAGACAGUGGAAGAAAUCCAACUGCUGUUCUGCUAAGGUUGAUUGAUGGUCAUUAUGGAUUUUAAAAGUAUAACUUGGGUUGGUCAUGUACAUCAGAAAUUUGAAGCCAUGUGCCUAGAGGCAGAAGAAAUUAUGUACCAGGUAUGCUCCAUUUCAGUAGAAGAUAUGUUUCUUAAUAAUCUUUCUCUUGUAUCUUCCCCAACCUUUUUCUGCUAAUGUUUUGGAUUGUCUAUUACUUAGCUUCAGGAGUGGAAUUACACUUCUGGGAAAUGGAAUGGAGAUCCUAACGACAAAGGUAACAUUCUGGAUACUCGUAAAAGGUGUCUUUUAAUUUCUUGUUUCUAGUUACUUACUGAUGGCUUUGUGUUUCGUAUAGGUAUUCAAACUAGUGAAGACUACAGGUUCUAUGCUAUUUCAGCUGAGUUCCCAGAAGUCAACAACAAAGAUAAGACUACAGGUUCUAUGCUACCUACAGUAUCCUUGUUGACAAUGUUGAGAAACAAACUGGUAGCUUGUACACUGAUUGGGAUCUUCUCCCACCUAAGAAAAUAAAGGAUCCUGAGGCCAAGAAGGUAGUUAACCGUAAUUGGUCAAACCUGAUCUAAAUUAAUGUCAUUUUGGCUUAUUUUGUUCUCAUAUGAAUUUUGAAUACAACUUAAGUAUAUUGCUUCAUGGACAGCUUGAAGAUUGGGAUGACAAGGAAUACAUCCCUGAUCCCGAAGACAAGAAGCCUGAGGUAGUAACCUUGCCCCCUCAUUCUCUUAUGCUACUUUAUAUAUACUUCCUGAAAGGGCAUGGGCAAAAUAAUCUCGUCUUUGAUUACUAUAGGGUUAUGAUGACAUUCCAAAAGAAAUUCCAGAUCCUGAUGCUAAGAAGGUAGUCCUUUAAUUCGGUUUGGGUUUUGAUUCCAGAAACCCUAUGCUAACAUCAUUUGUUUUGUCCAUUAUCUUAGCAGCCAAUACCAUCUGUUUCAUCAUGCAUAAAAGUUCAGGCAACAAAACUCAUCCUACGAAAAAAAGAUAAACUCACCGGUGGUGGAGAAGAGGAACAAAGCACCAGCAGAGGAACAAAUAACCAGCAGAGGAACAAAAAACCAGCACCAGCAGAGGAACAAAGAACCAGCACCAGCACUAGCAGAAGAACAAAGAACCAGCACCAGCAGAGGAUCAAAGAAGCAGCAGAGAACAAAAAACCAGCAAUGAGAGAAGAGAUGAGAGCAAAGAACCAAUUUGUGUGUGGCUAAAAAAGUAAAACAGCAGCUUAGAAGCACUUUUGGGUGUAUUCUUCAUUGCUUUUCACCCAAAAGCACUUUUGGGUGUAAAAGUGCUUCUCCACCGGGUUGAAGAACUAGCCCUUACUAAUCUUCUAUCCCAUUUUCUCUCUCUAUCUAUAAAAGAAGAAACAACAUUUUCAAUUUCCAUUUUUCCUUUGUUUGCUUUCUUCCUCUCUCUUUUCUCUCGCUAAGUACUCUCCUUUGCCUUCAAGUUAUCUUCUUUUCGGCCUCGCCUUUAUUCAAAAACCCUAACAUACGACCUAAUACCCCUCCCCCCCCCCCUUUUUAUUUUUUUGUAUUCAUCUCUUGUUUUGCAAAUUUCAGCUGGGUCUCCAAACUUCCUCUCCUCCUUCCUUUGCAGGUGAUUUUUCCCUUUUCCUUUUAUUUCUUGCUCAGUCAAAGUUGGGUUUCUACUUUUUAAUGGUUAUAUUGCAUCUCUCUCUCUAAAAAAAAUAUUAUUCGGUUUUUGACUUCUGGGUCUUUCUUGGUCGUUGGUGGGGUAUUUGAUUAUUUUCUGUUUUGGAGUUUAUUUUAUUAUGUUGUUGCCAUUUUGCCUGCUUGAUUGGUCUAAGAAAUGGUAGGAAAAUAUAAAGAAACGAGAAGCUUUCGAGUAUUUUAAUUUUAGACAACAUUUUGGUUUUAACCAGGAAGUCAAGUUAGUUUAUUAGGUCCCUCCCUUUCAAUGAACCCUUGUUUUUUUUUUUUUUCUUAUUUACUUCAAUUAUGUGGUAUGUAACAAAGGGUUUUUGGUUCAUAAGAUGAUCUUAAAAUUUCCUACCUUGUCUUGGAAACCAAACAAUGUUCUUGGCUGAUAAAGUUUUCAGUCUUUGGUUGAUAUUUUUCUUGGAAAUUUUGGAUGGUUGUUGGUUGCAGCUUGGGCUAGUGAAGGUGAAAUUUUUGGGAAUUUUUCUGGGUACAAUAUUUUGAGUAAUUUGAGGGUUUUAUUGUUUAAAGUUCGAGGUCUGGGUCUCAUGAGACUUGUUAGGGCAAUGCAGAGAUUGUUUCGCGAUGAGGUGAACGUGCUGGGCUGGAAGAAAUCCUUCAGCCAAGGGAUUGGCGUUACUGUGCCCAAGGCAAGAACUCGUGACAAACCUAUGAGUAGGGUUUUGAAUUUCUAAAUUUAAGGGGUUUUGAAGGGAAGAAUUAGGACAGAGUAUCUCACUGAGAAUAGUUAUCAUCAAAAGCUAUGACUUGCAUUUGGUUCAAAGAGGUUCCACUGGCAGCUCUUCUUUGAAUCUGAGCCGCUCUUCUUCCUUGCCCGGACCAUCUGCUUUUUCUACUCAUCAAGUUCCUUCAGCUGCAAAAGAUGGGGAGGUUAAUGAGGAAGUGUCAGAACUAGUUGCUUCAGAUGAGCAUUUAGAGUGUUCCAGGAGUAGUGAGAAUAAGGGUGUGAAAGAUGAUCCUUUGGUAGAAAAUUUGCGAAAUGAUCGGAAUGGAACUUCAAGUGAUGCAAUUGCUGAGGCUGAGAAAGUGAACACUCUUGCUGCCUUGGGUUCAUGUGAUAUGAUGAAUGAUUCAGGUGAAAAAGUUGCUUCUGAAACCGAAGGUUCAAGUGGUGACCCCUCCCCAAUUGGCAGCAGAAGUUCUCAUCCUCCUCCACCUCCUGCUCCACCACCUAAACCUUCAUCAGAAAACUUAAAUUCAAGAAGAUUUGCCUCAGGAAGCCCAAAUCCUGUUCGUGCUGGAUCAUCUAGAAGAGCUGUUGCCUGGCCCAUCGUUUCUACGAGAACCUCACCAUCUGAGUCAUGGCCUUCUUCUCCUAGAUCUCAUGGUGAGAAUGAGGGUUACAAUAGUGCUGAUGAGCAAAGCCCAUGCUUUGUAUCCUCCUAUGGUGAUGCCGUAAGUUCUUUAUUCUGGAUAAUCAAAUCCUGUGUUUCAUACUUCAUUUUCUUAUGGUGGAAAAUCAUCUAGUAUGGAAAUUUUCAUAUAAUUGGCAUGCAAUAAGUAUUAUCAUUUUAUGCUAUUGUACUGUUUCUUUUUUGAAUGAUUGCCCUGGUUUACUUUAAGCGGUAUUAUUUAUCCAUUUGUAUCGUAAGGUUUUUAUGCUGAAUUUUUAAAUUAUAUUGUUUAUCUUGUUUGAAGAAUGUUCUGUAGGUUUAGUAUUCCUGCUGAAAAAGUUUGACCUGAAGUUAAUGCUUGGGGUAUUUUUUUUAAACGUCAGAUUAACUUCUGCUGGUUUGCUGUAUCUGAUCCAGGAAAGGGAGCGGCAAUUUGAAAUUGAUAUUAGACUAGCAAAAGGUUUAGAAGUCAAACGGAUGCUAGAAGAUGGGAACUGCCUCUUCCGAGCUGUUGCUGAUCAAGUGCAUGGGGACUUUGAAGCUUAUCAUUUGGUUCAUCAAAUGUGCAUUGAUUACAUGGUAUUAAUAUCUCAUACUUGAAUCCUGUUUUUGAAACAUAAUGAACCAUAGGAUGUUAUUGCUGCGUUGUAGGUCCUAGAUGGUUGACCUAAGACGCAUGUUAAUUUUAAACUGAGUGGAACAGUUUGGUGAAUGUUCCCUUAAAAAAAGAAAACCUUGAAUUAUUCCGAGAAAAGAGAACAUGUAAUUUGGUGAUUGCUGUUUCUUUUUGUUUGGAAAUAGAGUCCAAUGAUAGCUGCUGAAGGAGUUUUCUAAUAAUGUAUUUAUCUGCAUGGGAUUAUAAGUUUAGUUAACUGCAUGGUGAGGAGAUACGUAUUUCCAAGAUGUGGGAGAUGAGUAGAAAAUCAAAGAAAAAAGAUGAGUAGAGAGUUAAGGUUUCAUUUAUCUGGCAUGCCAAAAGUAAAAAAGAAGGCUAAAUAUUCCCGUUUUACUCCAGUAAAUUAAAAAAAAAAAAAAGAUCAAAGUACCGUGCCAUAAAUUCUGUUAUAUGAUUAUAGUGUGAUUAAUUAGCUUAGAGUUUUGAGCAUAAUUAGAGGAUAGAGGUUUGGCUUUCUAGGGAGGUCAUAGAACUUUCUUUAUAUGUUUGGUAAUAUAGGAUUGUCUCUGCCUUCAAUCUGUCUGAUGAGUACGAUCAAAGCUUAGGUUUUGAGGAUGUAUGAAAGUAACUGGGUUCAUUGAAAUGCACCUGAGAUGAGACAUCUUUGGCAUACAUCCUCUUGUAACAUGUUGAAUCUUUUGUAACAUGUUGAAAUGUUCCUUGAGAACAUGUUCACCAAACCCCUUAUAGGAUAGUACUGUUGUUGGCACUAAGAUCACGGGAUUGUCUUGUCUCUUUGUUUGGGUUGGCAUGUUUUCUACUAGUUAUUGUCUAUAAGCUAAAUUGAAUAUUUGGAUGUGGUUAAACAUAUCCAUGCGCUGUUUUGGAUCAUUGUAAUGUUUUUAGUUUGUUUCAAAGGAUUAUAUGAUUUCAUUUUCUUUUUAUGUUUUCCUUUUUUGGGGUGUUCAUAUAUUUAGUUUUGAGGUGCUUGAAUGACAUAAUUUGGAGUAUUCUCUGAUGUAUGCUUUACCUUUAUAUGUUCAUCCAGGAGCGAGAGAGAGAUCACUUUUCUCAGUUUAUAACAGAAGGCUUUACAUCUUAUUGUAAGAGGAAAAGAAGAGAUAAGGUAUAAAGAGGCUAUAACUUUUUAUACGAUCUUUAAUGUUCUUAUGUGAAACUGGUUUUAGCAUCAUAUGCAUAUAGAUAUAUUUCAAUCUCGGAGUGGAUUAUUACUCAUAUUUUGAUCUGUGGAUUAUUGCAUAGCCAAGAUUACAAGUGUUUCAAUUAAUCAAAUUUGAAAAAUACUAACCAUGCAUUUUUGUAUUAUGGUUAAAGCAUCGAUUUCUUGUAUCUGGGAAUGUAGGUGUAUGGGAGCAAUGUGGAGAUUCAAGCCUUAUCAGAAAUGUAUAACAGACCUAUUCAUAUCUACUCCUACAGCAUAGCUGAUAUCCUUGGUUGAUGUUUCUAAUAUUGAUUUAGUUUGUUUUUUUUUCUUUUACCAUCUUCUUACCUUGAAUGAACCAAAAUUUAUUUGAUGCAGAACCUAUCAACAUAUUUCAUGGAAGCUAUCAAACUGGUUGAGGUAUUUGUUUAGAAUUUUUUUUUAUUUUUUAAUGAUUUAUUUAAUUGAACUGAAUGAACGUGGCAUGAUUAAUUUAACCACUUAUUCAAUUUUAAAAUCAUUGUUUAUAAUAAAUUAUCUUGAUACUCUCAUAUCAAAUAAUUUUUUCCCUCAUAUUAUUACAAUGAAAACAAAAAUUUAAUGCAUUUUAUUUUCAUGAUUUGAUUUUAACCUAUCUCAUAUUGAUCUAUUAUGUUAGCUAAAGUCAAAAUAUAAAAUAGAGAAAUAUUGCAACGACUUUUAUGAAAUGGGAAAUGUUGCAAGGAGCUGAAUGAUUUGAAAAAGGGUGAUGUAAAUCAAACAACCCCUUUUGAGAGGGUUGAUGGUUCCAGCACGGCGGCUGCUUUCAUUGUCAACCACUUGAAAACUUAAAGUCUACUCUCAAGUGCAUUCGUCGCCUUAAUUAUCUUCAACCACCCCCCAAGUAUCUAAUUUCUUCGGAGAUUUUGGUUAAUUUAAUUUAGUUAGUUGUAUAUAUGAACUUUCAAAUUAAUUCCAGAAUACUUUUUUAAUAACCAGUUGUUGAUGAUUCUCCGGAACAAAACCCAAUAAAAUUCAAAGGUUUAGCUGAACAAAGAUAGGGUUCUUUGUCGACUCUAAAGAGGGUUAAUUAAUCACACCUCUUUUCCACAUUUUAUAUUAUUAUUUUUUUUAUGUCUUUGACAAAUUGGUUUGUCUCCCACUAAUUAGUUUCAUCAAAUCUUUAUCAAUUAAUUGCUUAAACCCAAAAAAAAAAAACAUUUUUCUUCUUAAAUAAAUAUAAUAUUAUAGAAAAUGUUUAAUACAUAAUUUGAUAUUUGAGUUUGACACUUUUUUCUAAUAAGGUACCUGCGUUAUUUUUUGUUCUCCUGAUCACUUGUACUUAGAUAAAAGUUAUAUAUUUUAGUAUUUGAAUGUCUAAUUCGAGUUUUAGAGUUGAUUUGAUGAAAAUUCAUAAUUAGUUCUGAAUUUUCAUCAAAUCUACAGUAAAUGUAAAAUUAAACAGAUUCGCAAUUCACACUAAAUUUAUUCUAUUAAAAAAAUUUAUGAAAAAUUCAAGCUUAAUAAUAUUAGCAAUUAACUUUCAUAAAAUUAAUUCUAAAAUAUAAAUUAAAAACUAAAGUAUUAAAUCAAAUUUCAUAUUUCAAAAAAAAAAAAAAAAAAACUCGAAUAAUAAUAAGAAAAAGUAGAAGAAGAGAAGAGGAAAUGCAAAAGCGAUUGGAAUAUAUAUUAUAUGUGAAAAAGAUGGAACCAUGUUGAUACUGUUUCCCGUUACAUCUAAUAAUUGUGAAAUUGGACAAAGCAGCACGCAUGGAUUGAAAAAGAAGAGUUGGUCAAAAGAAAAUGGGAAAAUUAAAACCCUUUUACUUUAGUUACAGAACAGUGGUAGUGGAGAUAUAAAUAUAAAUAACUUUAUUUGAAUAAAAAUGAAAAUCCUUCUUUUCAAAAAAAGAAUGUAAUUUAAUUCAGCAGUCGCUCAAGACUUCUUAUCCCGUCUUCUACCUCUUGUAGUCAACCCAGCAGGGUUUUGCUUCUGCCACCUGCCUGUCUUAUCCUUUGUAAAUUUUAUUUAUUUACCUAAGAUAUGGAAGACGUUGACAUAUUCAAAAUUUCCAUUAUUUGAAUGGAGAAGAGAAAUUUGGGAAUUGAAUCCCCCUAUAAAACCCAAUUCCCCUCUCUCUGCCUUAAAACAACAAAAUGAAUUCCACAACAUCCCUGCCCCUUCAUCAAGGCGGCAUCACCCCAAUCUCCGCCCUCCAUCCUGACAUCUUCCAAUCCCACAUCCUCGCCCUACUCGACGGCCCUUCCCUCGCCUCCCUCGCCUGCGUUUCCUCUCAAUUACACGCCCUCUCCACCCAUGAUAUUCUCUGGUUUAACAUUUGUUCUUCCACUUGGCCGUCCCUCAACCAUCCACGUCUUCAACAAAUCAUCUCUACUUUCCCCUCCGGCCACCGCUCCUUCUUCUCCGAUUCUUUCCCCUUCCCCGAUCUCCAACCGUUGAAGCUGGACGUCAACUCUUGCACUCUGCCAACGGAAUUAAUCUUCGCCGUUGAUGUUUACUAUCAAAACCAGAUUAUUUAUUCUAAAGUCGAAGAAUUGGACACGUCAAGCAGCUGGUUUUUGUGUUCCCCGUUCCGGGUGGAUUUACUUGACCCGAAAGAUUCGGCUUCGACGCCGGUAAGGUAUCUCGGUGGCAGUCAAGAUGAAGCCUGGCUGCAACAUUUGGAAGAGAACUUGAGUUUAAGCUGGAUCGUUAUUAACCCGACCCGGAAGAAGGCGGUGAAUGUGUCGAGUAGGAGAGCGGUUUCGGUGCAGCGGCACUGGUUGACAGGUGAUGUGCAGGUGCGGUUUGGGACAGUGACAGCAGGAGAUGAAGGGCGAGGAUCAUCCAGAGAGUUGGUAGAGUGUGGGGUAGUGGUCACGUGCUGCGGAAAAGAAGGAGGGGAAAUGCACGUGAGGGAAGUGUGCAUGGUAAUGGAGGACAUGGAAGGGAAAGGGUUGAAUGGGAAGGACAGUUUAGUCAUUUUGGAAGGGGUGAUAGAGCAGGGGAGGAGGAAAGGAGGGGAGGGAAAUGAAGGGAAGGGAAAAUUCGAGGAAUUCCAAGAGAGGAAAAGGGAGAGGAAAGAAGAGAAUCAAAGGAAAGAGAGGGUAUUGGAUUUGGUGUGCAUUACGGUUGGCGUCGUGGGUUUUGUUUCCUUUUGGUCGGCUAUAUUGUUCAAGUGAAAACAACACCAAUAUUUACUGUAUAGUAAAAUAUGAAAUUCAAAUUUGACAGUCAAAUGUAUAAAUUUUUACCAUAUCCAAAGUUCAUGAAAUUAAUUAUUUAUGAUUAAUUUGACCGACUGCAAUUCAAAAUGGAUGUUGCUCUCAAUGAGUUUUGUGCAUUUAAUAAUCGGGCUUACUUGGACUGCUCGCUCCUCGCUGCACCACAAUAUUUCUUCCUUAGAUUCUAAGGGUUUGGUACCAAUAUUUCGUUUUGACGCCAAAUGGAUGUUUCUGAUUAAAUUUAUAAUCAUGUUCACGUUUCAUUCUACCUUGUAUUACAAAUAUUAUAUAUAUAUUGGUAUCAGCAUGCUCGAAACUCAUUGGAGAUUCUUUAAAAGUACAAACCGUAUUUAAAUCUCCAGUAGCCAUUUUCGCCAAGUAAUUCGCAAUCUUAUUUUGAUCCCUUGAAAUAUGUUGGAAUCUAACUUGCUGUCCAUUCAUAAGUAGAGAGUGGAUGAGUCGUACCUCUGAAAGGCUAUUAUCCACUACAUAACCGUUGGUAAUAAUAUCAAUCAGAAUGAUAUUGUCACUUUCCACUUCAUUCUAUUCAAUAGAAAGUCCCUCAUAGAUCGCCCUUGCCUCGGUUUGAAAAUUUCCUGAUUUGCCAACUAUCAUUGUAAAGCCAAAAUAACUAGGUUCCAUCUUGAUUUCAAAACACCCCUUUAUUGCAGUAUAGGAUUUUUGAGGAGAGAAACCUCUUUCAGUGUUAAGUUUCACCAAACCUGUUGAUGGUAAGUUAUGGAUAAUUCUAAGUAUUAUACAUUUAAAAAAAGAAUGGCAUAGAAUAGUCACUUAAAAUAAAAUAUUUAUGAUAUGAUGUUAGUUUCUUUCUUGUAACAUUAAAAAAGUUACAAAUUUGGAAUUUAAAUACUUCAAAUUACCAUAUUUAGUGCAAUAUUUUUUAGUUCAUAGAUAAAAUAAAUGAUUUAUUAAAUAUUUGUUAUUAUAUAGCAUACAUGCAUAUACCAUUUAUAAAGCAAGUAACAUGAGUAUUUUAAGAAACUUUUAGUUCUAGGUUAAUUCCUUAAGUUGCAAAUGUUUCCUUAAUUAUUACCCCUAUAAUUAUGAGCCACACUAUUAACUUAAUUUAAUUAUAAUAUAUAACAUGUUAAUUUAAUUGCCAUGUCAUUACCCCACUAUCAUAUAAAUUGAUUUAGGAAUCAAAUCUAACUAAUUUUAUUUUAAUUUUUUGUUUAUUAUAUAUAUAUAUACACAAAUCUUAUAAUAUUUACAUAUACCGAAAGAUAAAAACUAUAUAUGUUUACGUUUAGGUAAAAGUUAAAAAAAAGUAAAUAUAUUUGCACCAAAAUUGAAAUUAAAAUUAAUUACCGGCACCAGCCGGAUAAUAAUAAACCCCGUCUGAGUUGUCAAAAUUAGCAUGUAAUUGAUUUUAACUACACAUCAAUUUUACUCCUUCAAAGCUACUGCCUCCUUUUUAAAAAAAAAAAAAAAAUUCAUUUACUCAAAAUGUAUUUGUUGCUUGCUAAGAAAGUUAUUAUCUGUAAGAACACAAUUCAACUACCAAAAAUUGAUGGUUAAAUAAAUGAGUAUGAACCUAAUUAAAUUUAUGGCCGAAAUAGAAUUUUUUUCUUCUUUCCUAAUUUUCAUUCACAAUAAAACACCAAAAGUUACUAAAACUUUCCUUUUAAUUACUGUAGCUCAAUUAAAAAAAAUGUUUUCCUCUGCUUUUUGUUCUUCAUGGUAAAAACGGUUAAUUCAUAUAGAGCCGUACGCAUUACAUGAAUACAAAACAAACAAUCGAUAGUAUGAACAUAAUACCAAAACCGCAACUAUUUUUUUCAUGUUAAUGCAUUUAAAUAGUUAAUUGUAGGUGGAUUGAGAAUAUUAAAUGUUCAUAUCCUACCAAAAUAUAAAUUUGUUUAAUUUCAAAAAAUAUAUUUAAAACAUUAAUUUACUUGUUGAUUUGAAAUCUUAUCUAAUCUUAAAUAAUUAUAAUACAUUUAAUUUUUCUAAUAAAAGAUCUAAAAUAAUCAUAAUUUAAUUAAAUUUAUUUUAAAAUUAAUUUUUAGUGUUAAUAAAAUAAAAAUUGUAAAAUAUAAUACUAGUAUAUAUAAAAGCAUAAUCCAAUUGGUGUAUAGGAUUAUCAGUCAACAAGGUAAAGGACAGCCCACUUUAUCCACUCAAAUCUUACGAUCAUACAAUCCCACAAGCUUCCCAAUAUUCAUAAUCAAUCCGUCACCACUUGCACUCAAAAGCCAUACCCCCCAAUAAUGGCAGCUACAUUUUCAAGCCCAUCAACCGUCGUGCGCCUCGGCAGCGCCACCUCCUUCUCAUCCCCACCGAACAACACCUGCCUCUCUUCAGGUACACUUUUUUUAUUUUAUCAUGAACAGUGAGACCCAAAUUCGUAAAAUACCGUAAAACAAUGGCAUACAUUUUGUCUCACUUUUCGACUCAAUGGUAAAUUUGAGAUUUUCAAGAAUUCUGAGCUCUCAAAUAUGAGUUUCACCUGUGUAAAACAUGCGUGGGUGAGUUUAAAUUUAACUUAAUGCUACCAAUAAUUGGUUGAUAUAAUUGUAAACUGUAUUUUUAGUUGUGUUGAGUUUUAAGUGAGUGAAUGUAUGAUUGCAGGGUUUUUGAAAUCAAGUGUGAGGGGUAGGAACCCUUUGAGGCUGGCCGGUGCUUGCGGGGGAAAGUUCACAUGGUAAGUUGUGACAGUAAAAUGUUGAUUUGUGAGUAUUAAUAUGAUGCUUCGAGGGAUUAAAUUGUUAGUUGUGAUUGGAUAAUGGGAAGCUUUGAGAGGGACUGGCUGCGUAGGGACUUCAACGUAAUAGGAUUUGGGCUGAUCGGAUGGAUUGCUCCGUCAAGCAUACCGGCAAUCAAUGGCAAGAGCUUGACGGGGCUUUUGUUUGAGAGCAUUGGAACCGAGCUUGCUCACUUCCCUACUCCUCCUCCUCCUACUUCUCAGUUUUGGUAAGUAUAUUUUACACUCUUUCUUUUGCUAUAGAUUUUUCAAUGCCAUUUGUACUUUGGGUUCAUAAUUUGUAGACAAGUUUAGCCCAUUUUUCAGUAGGGGCCUGACCAUUAGACCAUGGAACCAAAAUUUUUUUGGAGACAUAACCCAAACCAAUUGAAUUUGAAUUUUUUUCAUUAAUUUUUUUAUCAUAUAUUUUCUUUUAGAUAUAAUGUCUAAAAUUAAUUAUAGCUUCUCGUCAACCUUUAAAUAGGAUGAUAAUACGCUUCAACGCACUCGAACCCACGUCCUCCUACACUAACAACAAUACCAAUACCAAUACCAAUUGAAUCAAUAAUCAAUUAACUUUUAAAGUUAAACUUUGAAUCUAAUAUUCACUUUUGUCAGUGACCCAACAUCUUAAUUGGAAAGAUUUAUCAUCCCUAUAAAGGCAUGGAGAAGGAGAAGUUUGAUUUAUUUUCUUAAUAUUGGUUUCAAUAAAAACAAAAAAAUCAAUUACAUUAACCUUGAUAAAUGAGCAGGUUGUGGUUGGUAUUAUGGCACUUGGGACUGUUCAUCACUCUUACACUUGGACAAAUUGGGUUCAAGGGAAGGACUGAGGACUACUUUUAAUUAUUAUUAUUUUAUUUAUGAAAUAUGAUAUUACUUUGGUACUCUCUCUAUCUUCCAUCAUUUCCCUAUAAUUGCUAUGCACUUUGUUUCUUUUAUGUCCCUUUCAAUGCAAAAAAGACGGAUUCUCUUCACUAAAAUUAAUUCCCAUUUCUUUUGACUUUAGGGCUACACCAAAAAGUUAGUCCUUUUUUUUUUUUAAUUAUUGGUAAAUAUACUAUGGAAGUCUUUGUAUUAGGAGUUUAAUUGCAUUUUACCUCCUCUACUAAAAAAUAGGUAAAUUAGUCCUUAUAUGUUAGAUCAAAGAGCAAACUAGUUCUUCUAUUAAAGAUUUCAUCUAUUUUUACUGUUAAAAACUGGUCUUCAUACAUCAGCAUGAGGUACACAUGGCAUGCCACAUGUCAUUAUUUAGUUAUUCUAUUAGCUACAUCAAUUUUUAACAGUACAAAUGAAUAAAAAUUUUAACAUAAAUGACCAAUUUGCUCUUCAAUCUAACGUACAAUGACUAAUUUACCUAUUUUUGAUAGAGAGACAAACCCCUAAUAUAGAACCUUCAUGGCACUUUUACCGAAAAUUGUUAUAUUAAUUUUUUUUUUCAUGUAGAACACUGUUGACUAAUAAAACAAGCAUUUUAUUAAAAAAAAACCAAGCAUUUUAAUUCAAUGAUAAUUGCAUAUAUUUUUCCUCAGAAAACUUAGUAGAAUUAGGAUUUAAAUCAAAUUCUUUGAUUAAAUCUGUAAAAAAAAAAACAGUUGAUAUUUCCAGCAUCUUGGUCUAAGUGGUAGUGAAACAACACCAAAUAGUAAAAACAUUAAAAGAUUGGUUACACAAUUUAAUUUCCAUUUAUAUUUGUGAGGUAUGAUUGAGAGAAUUGAUGGAGUAACUUCAAACACAUAUAAAUGAUGAUUUAAAACCUACAACUAAUGAUGUAUAUCAAUCUCCAUUAAGAUUAUCCAAUUGACGAAAAGUGUUGUGUAUCAAUGUUGCCAAUAUAAACAAAUGUGUGAUAUAAAUAGAGUAAGAGUAAAGUAAUAUAAGCAAGAUUAAGUUGAUGCCUCAUCAAAAUUUUUAUCAACCCAAAAUCCUCCAUUCCUCCAUUUCUUCCUUUUAAGAUUAAAGUGAUUACAAGUAUGACAAUUAUGUCCCAUAUUUCCACAUUAUGAACAAGUCUUAUUUUGUUUCUUAUGUUGUUGUUUUGGAAAAAUUCAGUUAAGAACAGUGGAAUUCGAUUUAUGAUAUUUAUAGCAAUGAAUUUUUUUCUUCGAAAAGUACAUCUACCUUGUGCAAGGCGGAUUUGUAUUGUUCUUGGCUUUCAACCGAAUGACCUUCGCCACUAUGUUUAUAGCUCGAAUUGCGUUGAGUGUGGGCUCGAGUAACACGAACUAAACACAAAACAUUAAAUAGUUUAAUUACUUCCUGUAGGAAAGUAAUUCUCUUAAUAGAAACCAGUAGAAAUUGUACUUUUCAGAAAUUAUAAUUUAUUCUUAGAAAAUAAAUUCUCACUACUUGGCAAAAUAACAAUAUAUGAAACUCAAGUGUAAAAACUUAUGUAAAAAUCUCUACCAAUGUUAUUUAUUUAUAGAAAGAGAUAACAAAAUCCUGAUUGAAUAAAAAUAACAUAAAUAGCAUUUAUUAAUAAAAAACACAUUCUAAUCCAACCAAGAGCGAGGGGAGGGGCACACCCUAUAUAAUUUAUAUAUAGAAAGGGAUAAGAGAAUCCCAAUCGAAUAAGGGUGGGUUUGGAUGGGCGAUUGGGUGCGGUGCGGUGCGGUGCGUUUAGCUUACUUUUUGUCUCACGCUACAAUAUUGAAUCUCACCGCCACCGCUGUUUUUACACUAACCGCAGGUAAACUCACCUUAAAACUUUAUUCAAGAACGAUAAUAAUUUGUUUGAGAACAUUUUUCCCCAUAAUGAGAGUAUGCUUCAUUUCUUUCAUUGAUAUCAAAGUUGACGUUAAAGAGAAAAUCACUAUUGCUUACGAAAAGUGAUGCUUGUCUUCAUCCAAAAUGGGUAUCUACUGAUUGAAGCAAUUAAGAAGUUAAAAGACUUUCACAAGGUGGCAUCAUUAAUAGUUGAGGAGCACUUUGGUUCACACAAUUUACAUAGAAAGUGUUCGCACCAUGGCCAACACCAAAAACACAGUAACAACUACCAUGUAAAAAAAAAAUCCUUUUUCUAUUACAAAAUUUCACAAACACCCUAUCGUCUUGGUCGAAUAUCGACUAGCGGUUGAUGGCUUUCCAAAUAAUUUUGUCCUCCGUCUCCUCUCUUCGCUACAAUUCUAUUUUAUUCUUUUUAAAAAAAAAAGUUUGCUAAAUUUAAGUGGGCAAGAUUUCUGUCCUUCACAGCUUUCAAUAUUUGCUUGAAACUGAAAAUAGGGUUGCAAAGUUUGGUAAAGAGUUGAAGAGUUGGUUGCUUCUUUUAUGUUGAUUUGGACAAAUCAAUGAGCCUCCAACUUUUUAAGUAAUUUAUCUAAAUUAUAUUUUAGCCUUAAAUCAUCAUUUCCCCUUUUGAGUUUUUUGGUUCAGAUUGGUACAUUUUGUUACCAUUUCAUUCCACUACCGUUUUUAAAAAAAACUGAUUGAAAUGUAGCCCAAUUAGAUUGUGCCACAUUGCACUUCAAUCCAUAUGUGUUCACAAUAAAAAAAUUUAUAAGGUCAACAGCCAAUCAACGACCGACCAACAGUUAAGGGUUAAAUUUAACUCUUUACAUUUACAAAUUCUAUCAAUUUGAUCUUCAAACUUCCUAAAAAGGUUAAAUUUAUUGAAUUAUUUAGAAUUAAGAUCAAAUUGAUAGAAUAUGUAAGUGUUGAGGACUAAAUGUGUUAUUAUACCAGUUAGAAAAAAGCUUUCUAUUAUCAAAUUAACCGUGUAUAACCAAAACAAGAACGAAUCCAAACGUUAGUGCCUAAAUUAAAAAAAAUUCAAGUUAAAUGACCAAAACAAGCUGAUGACCAUUUAUAUAGUUUUUUUUAUGAUUAAUAUUUUACAAAUCAAUCAUUAGAUUUAGUAAUAUAAUUAUUUAUUAUGCAUCUAAAGUUUCAAAUCAUUAUGAUAUCAUUAACAUCUAUAUCUAUAUUAUUAUUAUUUAAAAUUUUGAUUGAGUUGAUGUCACUCUCAAUCGGGUCUCAGCUAAAACGUAAUUUUAAGGGUAUUUUUAUGUACAAUUUAGAAAAACACAUGCAUAUAUGAUGAGAUUUGAACUCAAGAUCUUAAAACCUUCCUUUUCUCAACUUUACCAUUUCAACCAAAAUCACAUUUGUUUCUUAUAUAAAUUUUUUUUAUAAAUUUGUUACAUAAUUUUUUUCUACCCACGUAUGUCAUAAUUGAUAAAAAAAAUGCUUUUUUCAAUAUAAUUUAAUCUUUGAUUUUUUUAAAAAUAAAUACAUUUUUAAAAAACAUUAUUCAAAAAAGUUGACUUGUACAAAGGUUAUAUUUUGUUAUUAGUACCUCUACUAUGUAUAAGUUGUGGAUUUAGUCUAUUUAUGUUAAUUUGAUUAUUUUUAGUUCCUAUAUUUUUACAAUUUUAAAAUUUUAGUCUUAACCAAAUGGUAGCUAUUGAAUUCAAUAAGUUAUGAUAUUUUCAAAAGUUCGUUGCUGCAAACAUAUUAUCGCAUGUGCAAUGUCAUGUCAACUUACUAUUUCCAUAUAAUACUCACAAAAAAGCCAAUUAAUAAAUUAUACAGAUGUUGUUUACAUUAAGAAUGAAAAUUUGAAAUUUAAAAAAUAAAAAUGAUCCAGUCAUAGAAUGUGGGCUAAAUCUACUAUUUGGUUAGGAUUAAAAUUUUAAAAUUAAAAAAAUACAAAGACUAAAAAUUGACCAAUUUGAAAAACAAAAAGAUUAAAAUUAAUUAAAUCAAAGUAGGUAACUAAACCCAAUAUGAAUGGAGAAAGAAAUUUUAAAAGAAGAAGAAGCAUUAAACGUGUUAAAGAUUAUGAAUUUUGAUAAAUUCUUGACCCUAGAUACGAGAUCUCAAAACUCCCGUAACAAUGUACUAAAUGUUAUUUCUUGUAUGAAUAUAUUUAUAGCUUUUGUAUGACCAUGUUGAGUUUGAAAUUUUGAAUGAUGGGUCGAUAAAUUGGAACUAAUGAUAGAAGGUGUAGAUGAAAGUUUAAUUAAAGUGGACUUGGACCUAAAUGUUAUGAAUAAGAGAUUAAUUGGUAAAAGUUUACUGGUUUUACAUAAUAUCAAGUAGGUGAAGUUACUGAAAUUUUUAAUGAUCAUAGGGAUCUGGAAGCUUCAUCAAACUUAAUUCAUUCAACAUUACAAGGAAAUUUUAAUUUAAUGGUUUUUAAUAUUAAAAAUAGUAAAAUUUGUUUCAUCCUCAAUUUUUGUCUCCAAAUAAAUUUUCAUUUUAAAUGAAUAUAUUUAAAUUAUUUCUUUUAUCUAAAUAAUAUAAAUUAUUAUAAUAUUAAGAUUAAAAUUAUGAACUUAUUGUAAAAUAAAGAAUAAAUAGAGUACAACCUAAGAUAAAGUACAAAUGUCUAUAAUACGCAUGACAUGUUGCUUCAUUAAAAACCUUAUCUGGAAAGCUCAGUGGGAUAAAAUCCCAAUUAAGAGAAAAAGAGUACAACACAUAUUUACUCCCACUUAUGACAACAUCGCAUAAUAUCUUAUAUCCUACUUAUCCCAAUAUUGGAUAUUAGUUUUUCAAAUGAUUUUAUAAACAUUUAUAUCAUCAUUCUUCUAAAAGUCAUGAGUGGGGAAUAAUUUUGGGAAAAUAUAUUUUGGUCUCUUCUAGAGUUCCAACAAUAAUCAUAAUCAACUUUGAUCAUCAUCCUUGUAUGAUAAUACAUAUGUUCCAAUCAAAUCUUUAAAUAUUUAGGCAAAUAUAUUUAACAAUUUCACGUUAAUUUCUAUAUGCUUCUACCAUUCUAAAUAUAAACUUCACUAUGUAGUGUUUUAUAUAAAAUAUUGUAACAAUAAACAUUAGACGCAUGUCAAAUCUUUCAUGAACUGCUAUAUCAAUAAGAUACCUAAAGUUUAUUGCAUCCACCACAAAAGGAUAUUAUAUCUAUGCUGAGACUUAGCAAAAAAA